rnacentral:lncRNA from 1 species
CCUUUUUUUUUUUUUUUUUUACAUAUUCUAGACAAAAUACUUUAAAUUCCUGCUUGCAUUAUUAGAGAUGAUAAUCGCCUUUAUUUUAUGUUUGUAUACACUGAACCAAUCCUCGCAUAUAAAUACAUCUAAAAUGUGUAAGUCGCACGUAACGCGCCAUGAUUAAAAAAAAAUGCCUUAUGUAUGUAAAUGUAUUAUACUAUGUGGUUUAAAAAAGUGUAAUUUAAAUCAUUAAAAUGUAUAUGGAAAACAGAAGUAUUUUUGAAAAAAAAAACCGUAAGUAUAUGUAUAAUGUUAUGACGAAUUUACUAAAUAUGGUUGAUAGUUAGAGUAGUUAUCGCCACUAUUCUAAAAUAGGCUUAGACCUAGUUUGGGAGUGAGGUGUUUAAAAAAAAAAGCACAUGUGAAAAAAAGCUGUGAGGGUUUUAGGUGUUUGGUAAACUGAAAAAAAAUGGCUUAUUUUGGAAGCUGCUGUGAGAAUAAGCUGAAAUCAAAGGAAAAAGCUGAAGCUGCUAUUUGUAGCUUUGGAAAACUGGCUUUUUUUCAAAGCACACGGAGCUACAAUGCUCCUUUAAUGAAAAGACCCACUAUCAAACUGCUUUUUUUUUCCAAAAGCAUUUUUACAAAAAAGUUUACCAAACGCUCUGCUGAUUUAUUUCACAGCCGCUUAUUCUCACAGCACAGCCGCUUAUUCUCACAACAGUUUUUUUUCAAAGCACAGCAAUACCAAACCAGCCCUUAGGCGGCUGCCUAGGUGGUGGAUGGUGAAUGAUCAAUGCUAUUUAGGCCAAAACGUAAAGGAAAAUCGAGUAGGCGAUAGACGGUCGCUUAGGCGAACUAGGCAAUGGAUAGGUGGUUUAGGGGUUAGGGUUCCACUAUUUUAUUUUAUUUUUAAAAUUAAGUUAAAGGAUUUUCUGGAUAACCUACCCAAAAAACCCCACAUUAUUUCGAUUGCCGUUUCGUGUUUCUAUUCUCCCUGUCUCUUCGCACAUAGGCGCUCUCUCUCUCUCUCUCACACACUUUCUCUCGCAAUCGCUCACGUCGAUUCUAACUUUACUUGCGUUGUCUCUUGCAACUGCCGUCGACUAAACUCUCACAAGCCAUCGUCAAGGCUCAUUAUUUUGUUCUUUUUAGCUUUUAAUCUCUUUUUUUUCAUACUGCAAUUAAAUGACAUUGAAUUCUAGAUGCACGAUCCCAUUUACAUAUGUUGAUUCAUUGAAUCUUGAUUAAUCUGUGAUGAAAGAUGAUGUCAAUUUUAUAUUAUGAAUUAUUGAAAUUUUUAAUUUGGUUUUGAGAUUUUCUUAUUUUUGCUACAUUAGUCUCUGAUGAUGUCAGAGCCUUGAUUGCUUAAACUUUAACUUUUUUUAAAUUCUCAAUACAAGUAUAGUUUAUUUUAGAAAGUAAGUAGACACAUAUUUAUAUGUUAUAUAAUAAAUUAAAUUAAAUCCACCUACUCUGCUUAGACCCUUGCCUAAGCUCCUCCUAAACGCUUGACUCCAACCCGCUGUCUGACUAAUGCCUAAUAUUUUUUAGAACUUCAAAUUGUAUUCGAGCAUAAUGUACAAGUACAACAAAGUGAAAAAGAGUCCACACGGACACCUAUCGAACCACAGUAUAAUGAGCCACCAUCCUCAGUCAGACCAACAAGCAAAUGGAACACUAUCCACUUUGUUGCUGAGUGGAAAAAGCUUGAGAAUUGGGCUGAAGUUCUUUGGCCCAGGUUUCUUCGUUCCCGCGAUUAACCCCUCUCUGCGACUUUCAGAAGCAGCAAUAGAAGAAGAUACAAGAAGUCAACAACUCUCUCUCUCUCUCUCCCGGCCACCGGAGGCAGCUCCCUGGCCUCGUUCCCCUGUUUUCGUCCCGGUAAAGAUAAGAUCUUUGACCCUUGAUUUCCAUAUUAUUAAUUGUAUGUUAGUUUUUCCUUCCCAAUUGAAUUUUGAUCCGCCUAUUUUCCGUAGUCCGAUUGUGUUCUGAUCUGCUUUUGAUUGUCAGAUUGUGUGGCUAAAGAAGAAAACACAAGUUCAUAUUUUGAUUUUCGUUUCUAUGAUAAUUAUUUUGGAAAUAUACUGCAAAUGUGUGUAUAUACUCAUAUAUAUAUAUGUGUGUGUGUAUAUAUUUAUAUUUUGGUCAGAGGAGAAAUAAGGAAAACCCAGUUGCAUGCUGUUACCCAAUUUGCAUCAGAAUUCCUAGAUGGAAGCUUUUUGAUGAAUUUUUUAAUUUAAUCAGUUGGAAAAUGUAUAGAUUCAAUUUCUCUGUGAUGAUUUGUUCUUUUCUUUGGGUGUAUUUGAUGGAUAGGAUGGUUUCAAUGACUACUCCUCAAGCAAGAAGCAUUGGGCUUCCACUCAUGAACCUUAUCAAAUUAAAAGGAAUUCCCAUUCUCCAACAGCUUCAUUUAGAGGAGCAACUUCUGCGGACCUCGUCCCAUAAUUGGUGCAUUGUAAAUGAUGGAACUAAUGAUCCCACUAUUGUCAUGGGUGUUUCGGGGUAAGAUGAGCUUCUUACUCAUUGUCACUAUUGAUUAAGUUGGUAUGUUCUCUGUAUUAGAACACUAUCACCGAUCAAGUAGGAUGAUAUUGUUGUGGACCGUCCAAUGUAAAAGUGUCAUUGCUUGGUCAAUCGCAGACUUAUUUUCCGAAUUACAUGAUUCUGGCUCUGUUCAUUCUCUUAGGUUUGUGAUUUUAUUAUUUAUUUAUGUAUGUUUUUUGUAUUGGAGAUUGUAAAGGAUCCGUGUAUGUUCUGCAUAGAAAACCUGCAGAGCUUCUUGAAAUUGAUUUGGUGUUACGAGACCAGAUUCCUGUCAUUAGAAGGUUUACUGGAGGUGGCACUGUUACUGUUGAUCAAAAUACGCUGUUUGUCACUUUCAUAUGCAACAAGGAUGCCGUUCCUGGCUUGCAACCAUAUCCUCGACCUAUAAUGUCCUGGAGUAGCCUAGUUUACAGCAAAGUGUUUGAAGGACUUGCUGAUUUUCAACUUCGUGAAAAUGGUAACUUAACGAACCUUUCUAACGCUACUGUUUACUAGGGUGCUUUAUGCUUAUAAGAUUAUGUGUUUGUAAUGUUUAUUAGACUGAUUAGUAUCCUUUUCUUACCUCUUCUGUUAAUCCUAUUGUUUCCUGCUUUUUUUAUUUGAAAUUUCUGGAUGUGAUUUGAGGUUCUUUAUUUGAUCUUUUUGUGUGGUAUCAAAUGUUAGUUUUGUGUUUCGACUUUUCCCUAACAACAUAUUUGGUCCCAUCCGGUUGUAGAUUAUGUAUUUGGAAACCGCAAGUUUGGUGGGAACGCUCAAUCUAUUAGUAAAAACCGGUGGAUCCACCACACUUCCUUUCUAUGGGACUAUGAUGUUAGGAACAUGGCAUACCUGAAGCAUCCAAAACGGGUUCCUGAAUAUCGAUUGGUAUGUUAUUAAGUUGUCACAUCUAUUUUUCUGUGGUUCCUUUAAAUUUUAUGGUUCAACCUGUAUUUCCCACGUAGCCAAAGAAAAGCCUGUGAAUUCCACACCUUAAAUGUGCCGAUAUGCUAUCUAUUUCCUUUGCAGACAAGAGAUCAUUUAGAAUUCAUAUGCUGCAUGAAAGACUACAUCCCAAGAUCAGUUUUUCUUGAGAAAACAGUCGAGGCACUCUUAUCCCAAUUCUCCGUGAGAUCGGAACGGUCGGACGCCAUUGAAGCUACCUCGAGUACAAAGUUUGUACCCUCAACUAGGCUGUUGACAAGGCAGGAAUUAGAGGAAGCAGCAGCUUUUGACUCUCAGGCUGAAAGAAAUCUCUCUCAACCAUUGUCAUUGUAAGGAAAGUGUGAAAUUGAGUAUUCAGUGAGGGUGCUAUUCACAUAGUACCACCCUUCAAUUUUUUAAUAAAUGUAACCAAUUUUUUUCAAUCAAAACUAAUGUUUUAAAAGGCGAAGACGAAUUUGAGGUUUGCCUCACGGGACCUAAAAUUAUUAAUAUAUAUUACAUAUGAUUAUAUACAAAUACUAUAAUUCAUACACUUAUUUUUACUUCUCACACACCUCUCUCAAAUUUUCAGUCGUCAGAUUGAAUGUAAUGAAGAAGAUCAAUGACAAAAAAUUAACAAGGGUGUGAGAGGUAAAAAUAAGUGUGUGAAUAGCAUUUUUCAAUCAACAAUAGAGUUAAAAUCAAACAUUAUAGAAGAAUAAUCAACAAUUAAAUCAACAAUUUAUUCAUUGUAAGUGAGAAACUCUAAUCGUUAAAAAAAACCCAUCUAACGCCUCAAGUGCCUAAACGCACCUCGACCACGCCUAAGCGAAGCUUACUUUCUCUAGUUAGAAGUGUUUUUCUCACCGUCCCACCUUGAAGGCUGCCUACACAUGCCUUAAGGCUCAUUUUUUAAAACACUGAUCAAACAAAUGUUAAAGGUGUGUUAUCCACACAUCCCUUUUUACUUUUCACACACUCUCGUUAAUUUCUGUCAUUUGAUCUUCUUCAAUUCAUCCGAUCCGAUGGCCGAAAAUCAAAAAAAUGUGGGAGAAGUAAAAGGGGUAUGUGGAUAUCACACCCCAUGUUAAAUACCUUUUUGGACAAAAAUAUACGUCAGUCCAGUUUUUUGGAAAUUUGCAAUGCAGGUUAUUAAAUGCACGACCAUUGGAGAAGGAUUUUCAUACGCUUGAAAUGGUAUUUUCGCUGAGAAAUGCUAAUAAGAUCCUUUUAAAUACAACUUUUUAUAGAUUUUCUGUCACCUCAUACUUUAACGUUAAUUCUCGUUCUAACAUUAUAAAACAUCAUGCAAAAAAUAUGAGGUGACAAGAAAUUUAUAGAGAGUCUCAUUUUUAAAGAGUCUCUUUAACAUUUCUCAAUGCCGUUAUUACAAACUAAUCACAUUUUGCCGCAUGGUAUCUCAACACAACCACAUAUUUCAAUAUAAAAUGCGUAGCAGUACGUCAUUGGCUUGGAACAAAGGUGCAUGCAAAUUUCUCGACUCGGCCCGCCUACCAUGUCAACCGCAAAGACAGCCAUGUAGGCUUUCUUGGUGGAGAAGCUCUUCACCUUCCCAACCCAAGAUUUUUGUUCUUUUUCCCUCUUCGUCCUCGGUGCCACUGCAAACUCACAAAGCGCACCGUUCAUUGCACCUCUCUCUCUCUCUCUCUCUCUCUCCCCACACUCUGUUUCUCUCUCUGCCGCAGUAAAUUUCUGGUGGUGGCUCUGCGCAUUCUAACGACCGAAAUCACAGCUUGACCCGUCGUGUGCAAAUUCGUAAGCUUUCAAUCUUAAUACCCCAUUUCUUGCUUUCCCUCCAUGUUACUCUGCUAUUGCUUUGUCUGGCUUCCCCUGUAUUUUUUUUUUUUGAAUUGCCCUUUUACCAUAUUCAUAAAAAUGUUACCUUUUCCCAUUGAUUGACGAUAUUUCUCAUUUAAGUCUACACUUUUUGUGGAUUAUAUCAAUUUUUUGUUGAUGAUUUCGUGAAUUAUCAACGUCUGUGAUUGCAGAAAUUUGUUUGUAUUUGUCAUUAGGUGGUCAUUUUCUUUCUGGGAUUUUAAGGUUUCAUUCUCAUUUGACGAGAUUGUCUGCUGAUAUGAUAAGCAGGCGCAAAAACAAUUAAUUUGAUCAGAUUUGGGGUGGAAUUGUUCUUUUUGAAUAAAUGGUUAUCAAGUUCUGGUGCCUGGGAUGAAAGCUGCAUUUGGAGAAGUGCAUUGUUGUUGUGUAACUAAAGUGAGUCGAUGCACAUUUCAACAAUAAACAAGAGUGUCGAGAAAUUUUCGCAGUUGGCAUUUCGUAAGACUUUUGAGGGGUUUGCUUGUUGGAUUGCAGGAUGGGAAGGGUUAAGUUAAAGAUAAAGAAAUUAGAGAGCAGUGGUAACCGGCAGGUUACGUUUUCAAAACGGAGAAAUGGAAUCUUGAAGAAAGCUAAGGAGUUAUCAAUCUUAUGUGAUGUAGAUAUUGUCCUUCUCAUGUUUUCCCCCACUGGAAGGCCUACGAUAUUCCAAGGGGACCGCAGGUAUUGCAAGCGGAAAGUUUACAUUCGUUCUUUGAUCACAAUUUUGCAGACAAACUAGCAUAAGAAGACUAGAAUGAGACUAAAAUAGGGAGUGAAUGAACUUUCUAUAUCAUAUGUUAAUAUAGCUUCUUUGCUUUCAUGACAUUCUCAGUAAUUUUGAAGAGAUUGUUUCAAAGUUUGCGCGGUUAACUCCGCAGGAGAGGGCAAAGAGGUACUAGAAUACUUGCAACGAGAUUCGGAUUUUCUCAUUUUCUAGCUCGAUUGAGUUUCGAUGGCAUUACAGCUAACUACUUGUCCAUUUUGUCUUUAACAGGAAAUUGGAGAGCCUGGAAGUAAGACUUUCGCAAAUAGCAUUUCAAACGGGAACAUUUGUUUCUCUUGCUUUUGUUGUAUUAAAUGAAAACUAGCUUAUGCCACUUAAUUCAUUCUAUACUUGUGUUUUGGUGUUCUUUUUGUGGAUAUAGGUGCUGAAAAAAACUUUUAAGAAGUUGGAUCAUGACGUUAACGUACAAGAUUUCAUGAGUUCAAGGUAUGUGAUUGUUUUUAUCACAUUUGUCAUUUCCUUUGAGUGAAAUCUAUGGGAAUAUCUGAUGCGGCCCUUUACUUAACGUUCUUUUUCUCUUCUGUUUCUUGCAGCUCUCAGACAGUUGAGGUAUAUAUUCUUUACCACCAAUAGAAUUAUAAAUGCUUUUCUAAUUUAACUACGACAACUAAUGUCUUGUGAUAAAUUGCUAUUGGCAGGAUCUGACUCAUCAAGUAGCGGUAUUGCAAACCCAACUUACAGAACUCCAUAAGAGACUGAGGUGCACCUUUGGAGCUUUUAGUUGUUAAAGUAUUGCCUUGUCUUUUUGGUCUUGAUGGUCAAUUUGGGUUGUGUUGUAUGUUUCGAAAAUGUUUGUGCUUCAGUUUCUAUAUACCAGAACGAUAACUUUCGUACAGGCCCUAAGAAAUUGUAUAAAAACUCUUUCUGUUUGAAUUGUCUUGUGUGUUCCUGAUUAUAUUACAUAUAUUUUGACCUGUUUUUCGUAUUCAAUGUUUCAUUGAAUCUACAAAUGAUCGCGAUCCAUUGCAUAUUAAACUAUGCAUUGAUCAGUAAGGUAUAUGCAUAUAAAGAAUCCAUGUGAUAAUUUUAAUCCUUGCCACUUUUUCAGCUUUUGGAGCGACCCAGAUAAGGUUGACAAUCUUGAACAGCUUAGGCAGAUGGAAGACAUGCUUAAGGAAUCAAUCAACCGAACCUGUCUACGCAAGGUAUAAUUUUGUAUUUCAUGUUACAGUAUUGCAUAAUAAAUUCUAAGGCUUGUGAUGUGAAAGAAAAACAACGAGGGUUUACGGUUUUGUUUACCAAACAACUGAAAAGAAAAGAUGAAGUAUGAACAGUGAUAUAUCAUCGAUAAAUGGCUUUGGUUGGUUUUGGUGUCAUGGUGAGUUGAAGUAGCCAUGACUUACCUGAUCCGCCUGAGUUGCUACUUGUUCUACCUGCUUUAUGUGUGGCUGGCUAUUGAAUUGAUACUAACCUAUUGGAUAACUAAAAUUGUUAGGAAAAUUUGGGAAAACAUCAACUAACAUCACUAGAUUGCACAAACCAGGUAAUAAAUACUUUAGCUGAUGAACAAUGCUCUCUCUCUCUCUCUCUCUCUCUCUCUCAUGUAAUCUAAUUUGAAGCUUGAUUUUUGUGUAUCAAAGUUUCAAAAUGGAAUGCUUUCGUCUUUAUUAGUUGGUGGUGGUAUGCAAGAAGCUCAACCUAUAACUUGGCUUUUCAAUAGCGACAAUCAACAUAUGAUAUUCCCGAAUGAGCCGAACUAUCUUCCACAUAGGUUAGUCUAUUGCUGUUAUGCAUCCACCAGUACAGAGCCUAAUGCCUGAGAACUUUCUUUCUGAUAAAUUACCGAUGCUAUGAUGCUCUCUGUCUCUCUCCCUAGAGGUGUGGAGUGCUCUACAAAUGCCACUGUUCCACAUUAUACUAGUUACUUUGGCACUGGGACGAGCACUAGCCCUAGCAACAGCAAACAAUCUGAGGCCGGUGAUCCAGUACGACUAGAUACUAUGGGACAAAUUUCUAAUAUGGAAGGAGGCGGUGGCUUAAAUGAGUUUGACAUUAAUGCUUGUUUAAGUACGGAACCUGGUAAGCAUUACGCUUAUCCAUCAUAUUGUAGUUCUUACGUGCCAGACGAUCAGAAAUUGAACCAUGAAAUGGAAAAGAACGUACCAACAAAUCCGGUGGACUAUCAACUGAGUAGCAACUUUGAACUGCCAAGAUCUUUGUAUGAAACUGAUCAUCAUGCUUGGCUUUCUUCAUCUGGGCCUAGCGGCAUUGCUGUGUACAAGGAGAAUACCUACCAACCGGUGAGUCCUUCCAUCGAUAUUUUUCAAUCUGUUUCGGCAAGCUUAUGAAAUAAUGGACAAACUAUUGGUCUAUGUAUUUUAUCGUUCCAUUGGUGACUUGCGGCUCUAUGUUUGUUUUCGUCUCUUGUAGCAACCAAACGUGAGAUUGUAGCUGACAAAAUAUUGGAAGGAUUUACGGGAGGCACAUACCGAGCAAAUGAUAUGAGUUGGAAAUCUUAAGAGUAAUCCAAGAUAUGUAUUGAUGCUAACAGGCUACUUGGGGGAUUAGACUAAAUCUGUAUAUAUAUUGUACAAGACAUAUAGAAUUAUAAUUCAUCUGUAUACUAACAUCGUUGGGUUCCUUAAUUCAGAGCAUCCACCACUUUUGUAAACUAUUACUCAUAGAAAAUGAAAGCAAACAUGAUGGAUUUCUCGAACUACUUUGUGAUUUAUAUUAUCUUCGCCCACAGCUUUUUUGUAACUGAGCGAUUUCUAACCUAGUCUAAUUUACGGAGAGGGGAAUUCGAGUUUGGGUGUAGAUGGCGAACUCUGCACUAGCCAACUUGACGAUGCCCAUACGCUCAAUGAUCAAUAUUAUAUUAGUAGAUGUAAUGAGAAUGAUAAUACUAAUUGCCACCAUGGUUCCUGUACACCGGUAAAACAUUUUGUCUACAUUGAUGCUCACCAUUUCACACUCACUCAAAGAACAUUAAUUCAUUGUUACAAAAUAAAUAAGAACAGAAUUUCCAUAUUUUCUUCUUCCACUUUUCUUGCGUUGCAAUGGAUCUAGAAGCCUCUUAGGGUUUGGAUAAUGGUGUUAUGCCAUGGGUCUGAGAGGUGCUGCAACAGGUUGUCAAACGGUCCUUUUCCGGUCACAUUGUGUUGAACCACAAACCCUAGGAAUGCCAACAUUGCCAGUCUCCCUACAUAACACAUUUCAAAACAACGUAUUACACCUCAUUUCAAACUUAAAAGCAGACGUGAGUUAGGUUAGUUGGUCGGAGCAAUGUUGGACACGAGAUCAAACGCUUACCAUUGGCAAGUUCCUUCUCCUUGGCCUCGAGAGUCGGUGCGAAGUUGAGGGGGUUGAAGAUGCCGCCUGGGUAACCCACAUCACCUGGGGGCAAGCUGUAUUGCUUGAAGAUGGGGUCUUGGUUCACACUUCCUGGGUUCUUGAUGUCUUGCCACCGUCUGAUCUCGACGUAGUGGAACAGGAUGAACUCGAUCACAAAGAGGGUGGACGAAGAGGCGAAGUACUCGCCCUUUCCGGCAUCAUACCAUUUGGGGACGUUAAGGAUCCCCAAGUUGGUGAACACUUCAGGCAAUAGCAUCCCAGCAACACCCAACAUUGCCCAUCUGCUAUUGACAAGCUCAGCUUGGACAAACCACCUCAAGUUCUCUGGGUCCUCAGCAAGUGCCAGAGGAUCAAAUCCAUUGUCACCGGGAAGACUGCCCACAAAAACAUAUCUUAGUCAAUCAAUGCUUUUUCCUCAAUCGAAAUAUUUAUAAGCAUUUUUAUUGGUCAUUCAGAAAAAAGUCAUUGUGCACUCUUUUUCUUAAAAAAAAAAAAAAAAACAUUCAAAUUGUAAUUCGAGAAAUUUUAAACAUACCUUCCGGUGAGGUAGUCUGGUGAAGCCAAGCCGGGUAACCACUCACCCUUCUUGGCCUCAACUUUAAACGAAGAAGCAGAAGGAGAAGCCAUAGGCCUAAAAGCCACUUCCCUAUUUAAUUUACUCGAAGACCCUGAAAGGAACCUUGAUUUCGAGUUGACACACGGCCGGAAAACGGCCGCCGAGGCUUGAGUUGUGACCGUAGCCAUUGUUUUCCCACCUGAAUUAUGGUCGGAUUUUCAGGUAGGGAUGGGGGGUUAGUGGUGUAGAGGAAUAUAAGGUAUGGAGCUAAAUGAAAACGUAAAUUGUGUAAUGUGAGUCCAUGGCUUUGUAUAUUUGAUGCCAACUUGUCAAUGCGGGUCUUGUGGAGGUUGUUCUUUGAUGGAAUUUGACCGUUGGUUUGCAAGAUUUUUGUGAUCCAACGAUGGAGAUUUGCUUAUGGUUUGAGAUGAGCCAAUGGGAAGUCUUGGACCUUAUCUUUUUAUCUUUAGGGUUGUAUCCACAAAUCUCUACCUGUGAUGCUGUUGGCUGAAAUGAGAAUGUGGGGUCCACUUUGUGGCCACGCAUGAAGAUUUUUUUAACAGGAUAUGGAUAUGAUGAUUAGGGUCUCCUUCCACGUGGAAUCUAAGGGAGCCUAUAGUUGCAUGACAAAUAGCUGGCUCAAACUACAUCUUACCUGGUGGCUAAUCUGAUUUCGGGCAGGGGCACGUACGCCCUCUCAACUUUUUAGAGCAGUUCCACCGUGGGCAAUAGCCUUGGUGGACUGGCUCUCAAACAGGGCCAGAAAGCCCGAGCAACUUGGUUCAGCGUGUACUGGCAAUGGAGUCCGAGCGAGCCAGAGGGAGAGGCCCGACAGGAGUUGCCAGCCUGAGAGCCUGAAGGGCAUGUGAUGCAAGGCUGACGUCUAGGCGACGUCAGCCACGUGGUGGACGGGCCGAACUUCCCUUUCUCUCUCUCAACCUUCAUGGUUCUUGAACGACAUCGUUGUCUCACGGUGGAUGGGUGCAGCGACGAAGCAGAACCCCAAAUUUUAUAGAACAAAACCCAUUAGAGACAAUACCAAAAACCCAUCAUGGAAAUUGGAUGAUCAGAACCGGAUCGAAUCAGACGGGGCUGAGAAGUUGGGAAAGUUGCAGCUUGGGUUCCGAGUUCAUGUCGAUGAUGAUGACCAGGGGAAUGAAGCCGUAGUGGGUGACGACCUUGGCCUUCUUCAGGGCCCACGUGCUCCACUCCUUGAAGGAUUGAGCCACCGAGCGCUCCUCCGAGCCCUUGGAGGGCUUUGCCAGAGUCUUGCCCUUGCUCUUCAAAGAUAUUCUCGACGCCGUUGAAAUUUGCUUCAGGGGUUUGAGCGAGUUUUGAUUUGAUUAGUUAAUUGCUAGAGCAAACUGUUUUAAAGAUAAAAACUUUAGUCAAAAUUUGACUAGUUAAAAUGUAGAAGCUGCAUUAACUUUGCAAUGGAAUUUGCAUCUUUAAUUUGUACUUUUCUUAAAAUAAUUAUUUUGUAUUAUUUUAUAAAUAAAAAAAUUACUAUUAUUUUAUUACCUAUUGCCAUGGCUAUUCAAUGUAGGGUGGAGAUGUAAAAAAAGCAGUUACUGUUUAUUAAGGGCAAUUACUGUUCACUAGGUGGAUUAAAUAGUGAAUAGCCGUGGGGGGCCUUAGCAACGGUAGAGUUGCUCUUAGGGUUGAAAAUAAAAAAAGAGGAUGGUUAUUCACACAUUUGGUUUAUAUCUCACAUACGUCUUUAUGCAAUCGAUUAUAUUUGUGCAUAUUUUCUUUUUCAUUAUAAUAUCAAAUUAUAACCAAAGCUCAAAAGUCAUGGACAAUGGCUUGAUUUUAACUCUACGUGACGUUGAGUCAAAAUGUGACAACAGAUAAGAAUGAUGAAAGGUCAGGUAACUAUUCAUCCUCUUGCUUUUGGAGAGGAGAACUUCUUCCACAACGCUUAACCAUGAGACAGACAAAAAUGUAAACCAUUUCCAUUUGACAAAAGUUAUGGUACAUUUUGAUGAAACAGUAAAAAGUUGAAAAAGUGACAUGACGGCAUAUCGUUCAAUAUUCGACUAUCUUAAACCUUAGGAUUAGCUCAAGUGGCGAGGGAGUGAGCAGUUAGGCUCUUGCAGUAGCACCUUGUUGCCUCAUGUGUCAUGACUUAUCGGAGAUAUUCAUCAAAUUCCGUGUUUAGUACGUAUACUAGUUGCAUUGGCAAAUUAAUGAUCAUUUUGAGUUGUUUGUCAUUGUCAUCUGAUUUUUCAAUCCAACAAUAAACAAUGUGUGUUGUGUGGCUUUAGUGACAUGAAGUUAGUCAGUAUGGUAGAAAGAACAAGACUAACAUGCUUUCGCUCACCUUAUCUAUUUGCGCACUGGCGUAUAGGGGCUUAUAUCUAUGUGAUUCGCUAUGCUUGUUUGCGUUUUUCUUGCUGCAAAAGCAAACUUACUGCUGUAAUUAAGUAGCUUUGAGGAAUGAGAAAAUAGUACUGAUCAAGUUCACAUUAAAGAGCCAAGUGAAGUAUACAAGUUGCAUGCCUUCUCCGCCUUUGCCUCUGAGUCGGCUUCGGGCUCAUACUUGGUAUAUAUGUGAUCAAUUUCGAAACACACAAUAUGUGGCACUGCAUCUGCAUGACCCUUCUCCUUAAACUCCUUGACACAUUCCCAAUGAUCCAUGCUUCAUGGAUUCUCCAACUCCUCGACAGAUCAUAUCGUGGGUGAUGCAGCAUCGCUACCAUAUACAGAGGGAAAAGUUGUCUACAAUUGGGGAGACAAAGACCUAGAGAUAGUAUCCCUAUCUUAUUUUCUCUCCUUCUGUGAGAGUUCUUCCUUCAUUUUUGGUGAGGGUUUCAAUCUUGACCACCAUCUUAGGCAUCGACUCUAGCUUUGGCUGGAGUCGGUUGCCACUUUUCCGUUUCUUUUGUUUUCUCCUCCUUUUCCCUUCUCUGCUGCUUUUUCCCCUCCUCAUCAUCUUGAUUUCCCCUCUUCUUUUUCCCUUGAUGUCAUCCCUCUUCCUCCUUCAUUUGCGUUUCGAUCUUCAACCACAUUUGCAUUCGAGUUGGUGCUACGAGUUUCGAUGUUUCAACCGACUCAGGUGUUCCCAACAUCACCACCUUCUCCUUGUUGUCUGCCAGAUCUAGCAGUGUUGCUCAUGGUGUUUCAUGGGCUUCCUUUUAUUGAUAACCAACUGAUUUCCUUCAGUUUUUGGUUAUCCUCACUUUAUGGUUGUGCUCGGGGAGCAAAUCGGUGUUGGAUGAUACGAUCGGAGAGGCGAUGUUUGGCGGUGGCAUGGAUUUCUGCAAGUUGAGAUCCACUGUCCUGGCGGAGGCGGUAGCAACGGACUUCUCGACUUUUUGUUUGUUUCUUCUGUUUUUGGUUGGGUUUUUUGUUUUUCUAUUUUCCCGCUCUGAUCCUUUUUGGUUUGUGUAUUUUGUCUGUGGGCCAAUAGUUUGUAAAUUUGUGUUGUGUGUUUAAUAAAAUUUAUUGGUGAUCCUUUUGGAUCCCACUUGAUCAAAAAAAAAAAAAAAAAAAAAAUAGUUGUCUACAAUUAAAAGAGAUAGUAGCGCACUUCAAAGUCCACGUUUAGGCAGAACUCGGGCUGUGGCCGAAGUCUGAUGGAUAACGAAGAGAGGGUUACAGAUUUUUGGCCCAAGAUGAGCAAUCACGGCAUGGUUUCAUUACACGGCGAAAGAUCAUAUUUCCAGUUGAUUAAAAUAGUUUAGAACAUCGUUCUAUUAAGAAAGUGUACGCGGGAAUUUCACCUUGAGAUCAAGCAGGAAUGGUGAUCAAAACCUUUACGCUCAUAGAUAGAAUGAAUUCAAACUUCAAGUAACUAGUUUCAUCCUCAUGAAGAGAGAGACUUUAUUCUCCAAAACCUUACAAAAUAAAACGCAUUACAACGUAAUUGAAUCAAACCAAACCAAACCAGACGGACAACUAAGUAACCUAACAAAACCCGGCGGGUGGUUUUACACCCACCGCUGCCGAAAUCUUUGUCUGCCUUUUUCCAAAAGAGAGCAGAGUAAAGACGCACAAUGACCUCAUAAUUUAAUUCCAAAUGAUAAAGAGCCCCCUUAAUAUAAGCCCUUCUCAUUUUUUGACUCUCAACAGUACUAGGUUUCAAUAACUGUAGCUACACCCUAAACAAACAUGUAACUAUAAUUUGUUUAAUUUAAUGUUUGCUGUUUAGAAUUGUUGGCCGCUGAAUGUUUGGCCAAAGGACCAGCCGGCAGGAACAACGUUGUUGGAGACAAUCGUGCGGCCGUCGCUGGCUGUGACCUUGAAGGAGAGGCUCUGGCCGUUGAGGAAAGAGUUGCUCUGCCAGUUUUGGCCCCAGUUCCUUGACAUGGGUUGCCAGCCAGUUCUUGACCCUUUGAUGGAAACUGCAUGAACGUCACCAGCACCUCCAACGUUUGUGAUCAGCACUAAAUUGAAGUAUGAAUGACCGUUGAUUGUGAAUCUAAUGCCUCCCUUCUUUAAGCAAGGCACCCUGCAAAAAUUCAUAAACAACAAAUCAUGAGUCUUCGUCGUCGAUAAAGUUUUUGAGUGUGACAGUCACAUUAUCACAUACGUUUAACUAAUACGUUUAUAAUAUAAGUUGACAACUUAAUUAAUAGAUGAUAAUAUGAACAAAUUGUUACAAUCAUGUGUAUAUAGGACGGUCAGAUAAAAGUUGAGGGGUACUUUUGGAAAUAUCAGAAACUGGAAAAGAUGACGUUAGGUAAAUUGGUUGGUUCUUGGAAGUGCUUUGGUCGGCAAAACAGAAAGGCUACAGCUGAUGAUAUAAGGUAACCGAUUUUAGAGCAGGCUUCUUGUGGACACAUGUUUCAACAAUUAUAAAUGCGCCGAAUCUUAUACAUAAUAAUAUCAAUUGGAAAAUUUUCACUAACACAGUAAAACUCCCUAAACUAUUAAGGGCGUGAGAUGCUAACAAAGAUUAAACAAUCAUGACCAUUCGACAACUUGGGUGAAGAAUUGUGUUUUAUGAAAGCUGUCAGCGCAACAGAAUUGCCUUACUUUACAUGGCUUCUGUUGUGCUCACGAGCUUCAGUAAACGCGAUUCUUACACAAACAUCUUCAGUAAACGCGAUUCUUACACAAACAUCGUUUAUAAAUUAUGAAAUGGCUAAAAAUGCCCUUGAAAAUUGUUGUGAGGUGUCUGUGCACACCCCUAAGAAUUUAAGGGGUAUAUGUGCAAUUUUCCCUUGUAAAUUCAUUUUUACUAAGUUGGCAAACAGCCCCUGCGAGAGUGGAGUUUCUCAAGAAACAUAAAGCAGGCCAAGCCUGAAUUUGCAUACCUUCUGUAAGACACAGGCACGAUUCCAGCUCGGUACUGAGCAAUCUGUUGGAAGACGGGCUGGGCGAGAUCAAAGUGGUGCUGCGGCGGGUUGCACCAGCCUCCGGCAUUGUUGGGAAGGGCAUCGUUUGGCGGGCAGAAAUUGGUGGCGGUGACCAUAAUAGAGCCCGGAAGACACCAUUUGGGGUCACUCACACACCUAAUCUCAAAACAAGCCCCACAGCUCAACCCAUUGUUGAACAGUGCUGUGCUCAGAGCUGCAGUGUUAGUUCCAUAGCCUUGGCUAUACAGAUUUCCAUAGCCACAAGCCCCACCUGCAAUUUAUAGAUACAUUAAAAAAAAAUUAAGACGUGGCGGGUAUUAAUAAACGGACUGUUGAAUAUAUAUGCGCUAACAAAAUGUAUUGACAUGUUAUAGAUUCAUUUUUCACAUUAACAAUGCAUGUAUGUUUUUAACUUCCUUUAGAGAUAAUUUAUAUGUGUUUACUUACCCAUUGUACCGGUCGCAUCACCUCCGCCAUAGAAAGUGGCAUGUGCAUCAACCCAACCACCGUCACCUCCUCCAUACCCACAAGCAAAAGAGCUCAAAGAAAGAAGAACCACCAAGAGAAAACCAAGAAUUGCCAUGUUUUUUCUUGCACAACAAGCUUUGUACUUGUUUUUGAAGCAGAAACACAACUUUUGGUAGUGAGAUAAAUAGAGAGCAAAAGAGGCUUUGUGUUUGUGAGUUGUGAGGAGAAGUUGAGGGGGUGAGGUGGGGGAUAAAUAGAUGCUUGGAGUUGGAGGGAGAGAGGGUUUUUUUUUUUUUUUUGCAAAGGGCAACGUCACACCAACUAAAUGACACUAAAUUUUGAUGUGUGGGGACCUUGAACCGACAAGUGCGAGCGGUUUUAUGCAUGUUCCUGUGCAACCAAAGCACACUUUUCUCCAAACCACGUGGUUUGGAGCCAUUCACAUUUCUGUUGUGCUGGUGAGGUACAGACGAAGGACUAAUACGGCUAAAGUGAUUAUCAUAAACAGUGUACUUUGAAAAAUCUACAAAGUUAAGAUAAGUAACUAGUAGUUCGAUUUCCCAAAUUUCUAACCAUCUUUCAGUCCAUGUCCAAACGAAAAUGCAUGUGGAAAUUAACUACCAUUAAAGUAUAUUUUACUUAUAUUCCAUAUAUAUGCAUGGCUGUUGAAAGUGAAAAGUACUUUUGAGUGCUUUUCAACACUCACUGUAUUUUUAUUAAAAACUUCGACGUAGAACACAAGUACAUUUUAAAAGGACAUUUCCAAGCAAGCCCAUAUCAAAUUAAGGAGUCAAAUUUUUUUCAUCUAUUCCAUGAGCAUUUAGCUAGGAUACUAAAAAUGGGAUUGAACUUUUGGUAAUAUGCAUGGAAAUGGGUAAAUUUUAAUUUGGAAAAAUUUGAUAAUUAUCAGACCGACAAAUGGAGAAAUAAAACAUGUUAUGGCUGUCGAGUGUUUGACUCCAUGACCAAUAUACAUUUUCAUGUUGUGAACGAACUUAAUAAAAUUAAUGAGAAAGUUUGACCCAAUUAUUGUGCUUGGGAUGUCUCAAAUGCAGAAAUCUCAUUCAAUGUUAUCGGUUUGACAAAUUGGUUAUAGACGCUUGGAGAGCACAUGGAUGAUGAGAAAAUGAUUCUUUAUCUUUCUAUUUUUCUUAUUUAUAACGUGGAUGAUGAAAUGUUCGUAAUGUUGAUGAGCAUGGCUCAUCAGGUUGUUACAUUACGAUCGAUCAUAGAACAGAGGGAGCUGAUGAGGGAGAGGGAGAGGGAGAGGAGAGUAGGACCAUCUGAUGAGAAAGCACACCAACAACUCAAUCCCAUUUAUUAUAUUUCAUUAAUUUUGUUGCCAACCAAUUCUGCAAAAGCUGCGAACACACCCGUCUCUCAAAGUUGCAUGCAUGUGCAGUUUCGUGAUUAAAUUGAAAAUUGCAAUCAUAAGGAUGCAUGCACGUAGCAUGCAUAUCCGCUGUACAUGUAUAUAAAGAAAUGGUUUAUACAUAAUACAUAAAUAGAAGGUGUAUAUGUGUGUGUGUGUAUGUAUAGAUUUGACGUAAAAGUUGUAUAUGUACAAGCUAUAAUUCUAAUUUAAAUUGGGUAAUAUUAAGGAAACUAAAUUUUGUAAACUAAAUGCUAUGAUUAUCGAUUAUUGAAUUAUUAUUUAAGUGUUAUUUCCCAUUGAUGACAACAUCAUUUAAUUAACAAAUUUAUUUUAAAAUUUUAAUUUACCUAACAUUACCCUUCUAAUUAAAUUUUACUAAGAAGGUGGGAGAAUUCAAAUACAAGUGUAGUGGAUUAAUAAAAAAACUUUAAUUAUUUGCGCAAUUGACCACAUCCUUGAAAAGAUGGAUAUGUAUAAUUGUGGUUAAGACAUGAAGGAGUCAUGCACGAACUCCGAUAACAUGCAUGAUUCAGUUGGUGUGAUGAACGUAUAGUAUGUAUUCCUGUCUUAUCUUCUGAUUCAUUACAACGAACAUCAACUUGUAUACCGUGAAAAUAGACCUGAAGAAAAUCUAUUCAUGUAGUCAACAAUACUCCAUUGGUAUUUUUUUUUAUAAGCGAUAAGAGUGGUAUUUCAUUCAACAUCAUAAAUAAAUACAGCCAGUACCAAUUGGGUUUAUAAUUUUAGUGACCAAAAAAUUGAUAUGAAGUGAAUUUGCACAAUUAAGUAAACCCCAAUACGGCUACCACAAAACCUCAAAAAAAAAAAAAAAAAGCCAAAAAGCCACCAACACACUAGCACCGCGCACCAAAUUUGAGCGUGUGAGGCAUAGAAAACACCAUAUCGAUCGAAUAGAGUAUCAACGCCAUGAAAACAAGCUAACGAAAGUGGAACCAACUCACCAGCAUACACAGCUUAGCAAGUGUUGGAUCUUAUCAUAAAAUGUCUCAAUGUUAUUAGCAGUGGUACCAUUUAUUUUUAUAAAUAGUAAUAAUUUAUGUGAAAUUUCCGAUGUGGAUUUGCAUUCUUCGACAAAACAAGAGAAAGAGAGUUGAAAGUGAGAUAUUGUUGUGGAAUUGGGCCACAUGUUAGCUAGAUUAGCCAGCUAGCUUAGCUCUCGGGGAAGGAUUUGGAUCCUCUCCUGAGUUGGGGUCUGAAUCCUCCUAACCCAAUAACACGAGUCGUUAGAUUUUGAUUCAAUAGAGACUUUUCUAAAAAUUAUAAUAAUUAUAGUCGUUUGAUUAAAAUCCAACUGCUCGUGUUAUUUGGUUAGGAAUAUUCGAGCCCCCUGCUGAGGAGAGGAUCCAAAUCCCUCGGGGAAAGCAACGUGAAGGGUUAUAACUUAUAAUAAGGGAUCGAACACGUACGUACCGCACUAGUUUGGCUCCAUUUUUAGAUCAUACAGUCGUCAUUUUUUAACUGCACACGUAGCUUUAUAAUUAGGGUUUGUCGUUUUCUCUUCUGUAUUUUCCUUAUCCUUCACGGAUUCUUUCUUCAGAACUAAAAUCUACUGACCGUCUAGUCGAGUCCUAAAUCUGGAAAACAACCAAGAAGCCACCAACACUACUUUACAAAUCUAUCAUGCAAAUUGACCCAUGCAUACGUGUGAAUGAAUCAUGCAAAGCCACUUUUCAAGCGUCUUUCUCUACCUCCAUUGAUAUUUUUGAGUAAAUUACAACCGCACCGUCUGAUUUUUGUUUGAUUUUCCUUCAAGUUUGUGAUCAAAUUUAAGAUUAAUAAUCUGGAUUUUUAACUGGAUAUUCGUUUCACAUCAUAACCUGUAGUUUAAUUUCACAGUCUGGCGGGAGUUGUUAUGCAUAAAACAGCAAAACAUAUAUUUUAGUCACACACUCUGCUACUAUUUUUCAAGGGAUGUGCCGAAGUGCAGUCCCUGGAUAAGUUAGAAUUAAUGAACAAAAUCUGAAAUCCUGCCGUACGUUCAGAUUGUAGAGGAGAAAAACCGAGUACGAGAACAAUAAGUCAAUAUAAAUGGCACAGCAGAGAUGGAAAAGGAAAUAUAUAACAGAAUAAUAUUGCCCAGAAAUGUCAGAAAAAUCGUAAAUAAGUAACUGAAUUUAUAUAUAUGUGGCGAAACGGAAUUAACAAGAUAACAAGAUUAUUGUUUGCAAGUUGCAAGAUAUUUUAUAGCUUGUCAAAUUUUCUAAUAAAUUAUAGCCCUCUAGCAAAUAAAUCCUGCUUCUCUCUCAAUAUGCUGUGAAUGCUAUCGACUCACUGGAAUUUUUUAGUAACCAGUAAUAAGAAGGUUAUUUAGACAAAAAAGAAAAGAAAAGAUAGUUAUUAAUCCACAUAUAUAAAAGCAAUUUCAGCAAACUUGGACAUGACGUUGGCUAGAAUAUUGUGCUUUCUUUUCAGCACUCAAGUUUGAAUUACUUUUCUCAUAGUUUAGAGUAAACCAUUCUAAAUGAAUAAAAAUAAAGAAAGAAGAUUCAAAUCCAAGGUUUGUUUGUUUGUUUUUUAUUUUUGUUUUUUUUUUAUUUUACAAAUGAUAAAUUAUUAGUUGUUAGAAUGGAGAGAUCUGCAUUAGAGUGCAUUUGUUUGAUUGUUUUCAGCCAUUGCAAUAAAGUGUUAUUUGCCAAAUCCAAUGUAUUUGGUGCAAAUAAAUAAAUCAUACGAAAUUAAUAUUUUAUAUAAUAUAGGAAUUAACUUUAGGUACAAGAAGUAAGAAGUAAGGAAAAAGGGACGAGGAUUAUCUGCCCUUGCACUUCCGGUGCCCUCUCGUGCCCUCUUAUUUUGUGUGAUCACGGUUAAGUCACGUCAACAUUUUAUAUUAUUUUUUUUAUAUAGAUAAUAAGACAAAAAUAAAUAGUAAUGUAAAAUGUUGACGUGACUUAACAAACAGAAUGGCAUGGGAGGGCACUGGCAGUGGAAGGACAUACAAUCUUUGUCCAGAAAAAAGACGCUAACCAACCAAAUCCAAUGUAUUUGAUCAUACAAUAUUUGCUCUUUUUAAUAAAGAAGACAAAAACAAAUGUGGACUGUCCUAUAGCGCAGGCAAGAUGUCAAGAUUACAUGAAGAUUUUAUUACAAUAAGUUGUCGACGGUUAUCUAUGUUGACCUAACUAAGUAGCUAAGAUAAUAUAACCCAAGGAGACAUUACUUUUCAGAGGCAUGCAUGAUUGAACAUUGAUUUGAACUUUGAAGUUUGGAGCACGAUGCUUAUUUUAUGAUUACGAUUACAAGAGGACAGUGCCAUGAUCGACGUGGUAAUUAAAUCGAGUGUUUGUGUCCUUUGCUAUUAAGUUCAUGAACUUUACCAUACGAAAACAAAUUAAUGUCCAAAAACUUGAAACCUUGUUGGCGAUACAGUUCGAGAAUCUCACGUUGUAAGUUGCGAUCUGAAGAAUGAUACGAUGUUUCAAUGUUAAUAUCAUACUCAUCUCGUUAUAAUUUAGUGAUGUUCUUGUGACUUGGGGGAAGGUUUCAUAUACGACUUACUUAGGUAACGAGUUUCAUACCUAAUUAUGGUUGGUUAAUCAUGUGAUUCAGUUUAAUUUCUUUUUGUAUUAUUGGAAAUUGGUCCCUAACAUUAUACUUUCAGAUAAUGCUUGCAUGCAUUGCUUCUUUUGGGGAAAUGAGCUCAUUUCUCACUAGCAAAUAACGCAUCUUCAUCGUAAAAAUUUUAUAGUCGGAACCAUUCAAUCUUUUAUCUUCAUUUGGAGAUUAUCCUUACAAAAAAUCAUUCGAAUUGGAAAUCGUUUAGUCAUUUAAAUAUAUCAAAUAAAUCAACAGUUCAUUAUGGAUAUGCUACGUGGUACUUACACCAUUGAUUUAUUUUGAUACAUUUGGAUAACUUAACGAUCUCCGAUUCAAAUGAUUUUUUAUGAAGUUGAUCUUCAAAUGAAGAUUAAGAGAUUGAAUAGUUCGAUUAUGAAAUUCUAACAAUAAAAAUACAUCAUUUGCAAGUAAGAGAAUGAGCUCAUACAUAAUACAUAAAGAAGAGAUUCAAGUAUUAUCCUAUACUUUAUGCCUACAUCAGUAACUAUUUGUGAUAAACAUCCAAAGUUUAAACAAACGGCCGGAAUUCAUGGAGAAAACGGGCAAGAGGCGUGAAAGAAUGUUCUUCCUUGAGAGCAUACAUAUGGAAAGUAAAUUAAGUUUGUCAAAAUCAUGAACCCACGAUUAAAGAGAAUCAAUCAACUUCAAAGUGGAGACAUCUUUUUCAUCUUUUCGGCUCCUUUUUUAUCUUGCUAAUGAUAAAGUAGCUUUGGUGGGAAGAGAUACCAAUUAGCCAGAUAGGUAAGCUCACGGUGCAUGUUUUGGGACUUACAUUACAAUAUCGCACGGAAUAUAUUCUUAAAUUUAGAUAAGUACAACUCAUUUCAGUUGUAAAAACAUGCUUUCUUUAUUAACAAUACAAUAUAAAAAGUUUUAAUAGGCAUUAAGCGCUAGUCGGACAGCAGAAAAAGGUCUAGCGCCUACGAGUCUAGACAGGGCCUAGCCAAUUUUUUAAUUUUAAUUAAAUUUAUUAUAUAAUAUAUAAAUAAAUGUUUACUGUUACUUAAAUAAAUACAUAAUAUAUUGGGGUAAAUAAACUGCAAAACAAAAUGAUAAAUAAAUUAUAAAGUACUAAAACAUAUUUAAAACAUGAAGAACAAGCAUAUAAUGAGUAUUCAUCCAAGUCUCUUACAAUUUUUUGAUAAAAUAAAAUGCAAAAUGGAAGUUAUCUAUUUUCUGUCUAAGUGAGAUUGCGACCCAAACAGUCUAGGCGGUAUAGGCGGGCGCGUAGGUAGGUCUAUGCGCCCUUUAUUGGUUUUUAAACGCCUAGGAAUUAAUGGUAGCCGUAAUCAGCCACCUAGUGCAUAAGGGGGCCUAGGUAGUGCUGGGCGGGAACUUUUAGAACUCCUUAUACAAAAAAUAUAUAUACUAAUCAAAGAUGUCUUAUCCCCACUUCCUUGGUAAGGAAGUUUUUCUCCUAAAAAUCAAGAUGAAGGUAGUACACUACUUUGGCUGUCCACUCUAUUAACAGAAAUGUAGAAAGAGCAUGUAUCGAAGAAAUGCAGAGAGAGAGAGAGAGAGAAAGUGAUUGAUUACAUUGAUACUGAAUUAAUUUUUACAACUAUGAGAAUAUAGUUUAUAGCCAUCAUGACUAGCUUGCAGCCUAAGCUAUUUAACUAACUAAUUCGAUAACAGCUAUAACAACGCAGCCACAUUCUUAACUGUCUAACUAACUAUUGUUGAGCUGGAAUGAUAUAUUCAACACAAUCUUCCUCAUAUUUUUUUCAAGGCAUUUUGUUAAAAAAAUUGCACUCAUUAUAGACUUGUAGUCAUGCUCAAGGAGAAUAUCAAAUAAACAUAAAUUUUUUCAUGUGUGCAAUAGUAGUGGGCCAAUUGCAUACACUAGCUGCUGUCUGGACACAUCAGUGUCUGGACACUGUAUAGACAGAUUGCAACAUUUCAUGAAUCAUAUAGAUCAUUGAGGCGCUAUUUUUGAGAACCAGACUAAAUCUUUAUCUACUUAUUUUUGCAUUUCCCUUCACAAUUUUGAUAUUCUUAGUUAACUUCUAUGAAUGCUCAAGCUUCCAAUCUUGCUCGUUUGUUUUAUGCACUUUGGUUUGCAUUUCAGUUGUUGUUUCAUAUGUAUUAUAUAUCUAACCUUAUCACAAUGUCAAAAUCAAUGUUUACUACUCACUUACCCAAAAGUGUAACCAGUAAACUAUUACGACUUAUGAUGCAACAGGAUUUGCAUCAGGAUUAUUGUUCAUGAGAUUUGAAUUUAGAAUCUUCUCCAACAAGAUAAAACUAGAUGCCGCUAGAGGAAAUGGUCCCGUGAAGCUAAAACUGGACUUCAAUCAUUGAUUUUUUACACUUUUUUUUCCCUUUUUAAUUUACACUAACUUCAACUCCAAAUUGACAAGGCCGCUAAUUAUGCAGAUUAAAUUAAGAAGAACCCACAGGGCACAGAGGUGAUGUAGACCAAGUUCAUUGAUUCCAAAUUCAUAACGACAAUACAAGAUUCAAAUUUAAGUUUUUUGAAUACUCUUAAAGGGUGUUGUUAUCUAUACACUCUUUUUUACCUUCUAAACACACCAUGUUAAUUUUUUUCAUUUGUUUUUCUUGAUUCAUUUAGUUUGACGGUCGAAAAUUGAGAGGGAUAAAACCUAAGAUUUAAAGCCUAACAUCUAGUAAGCACAGCCUCUCCUUUAUUAGAAGAGGUUAGACUGUCACUUGUUCCAUUCUGAACAGAAGGACUCUAAACUACAAAACCCUAAAACCCUUAAAAAAUAAAUAAAUAAAAAAAAAAUAAAAACCCCAUCUCCUACCCAACCAAAGUAUGGGCUGAGUCUUGACCUUGGAUAACAACUUUGGAGGCCCCAUUGGAUUAUUGGGCCCUAUUGUAUUAUUUUGGGUUACCAGGUUUGAAAAGGUCCAUUUGUACUAGGCUACGUUUGGGCUUUUUAGCCCACUUAUAGUUGACACAUCUCUAUGUCACAAAUCAACGGUCCUGAUCAAAGUGCGUCCUUUCUGCCUGCAAAACCCUCUAUAUAUUAACACACCCAGUCAGAACCCUAGCUUCCAACCCUCUCUAGCCUCUUCCUCUAAGCCCUCCCUCUGCGUCUCCGCCCUAUCUCAACUGGGUUUUUGUUCUGUCAAACGGUAGAUUUUAGUAGAUUAUGCAAGCACUCAGCAUCUUUCCACACGAUGGUAAAGGGCCAUUUGCAUCUCAACUGGGUUUUGAGUCUGAAAUUCAUAGUCAAAUCCCAGGUUUUACUCUGGUCUUUGAACUGUUUCCUUUUGUAUGCCCAUGCCUAUGAUGGCGUUAAAUAUACUUUGAGAGUAAAUUCCAUGAAACAAAUUUACAUCUGAGGCAUGAGGUUCUACAAUUCUUUAUCAAUUUUACUGCUGUUUUUUUUUUUGGCUGAAAUUACUAGUCUUUACCUAGUUACGAUUGAAAGUUUUGAAAUUUAUGCUUAAUUCUCACUUAAUGAUUCAUAAUUUCCAAGAAAGUUUAGUUUUUAAGGUAAUUGGAAGAAAAAAAUUGUGGUAUUUGGAGUUGCAAGUGAUGAUAAAACAGACAGGGACAUCUGCACUCCAUUGGAGAUUGAUGACUAGUCUAAAUGGGAAUCUCUCUGAUGCAUUUUAAUCUUUUUUUUUGGAACUUUGACGAAAUGUUCUCGAUUUAUUUUAAUGAAAAACUUUUUUUAUACUAAAAAUUCAAUCAUGGUACUGUUCAUUUUAUUCAUUGUUAAAAUUCAAAGUUUUCAAAGUUUUUUUAUUUACUGCCAUUGAUUUGAGUAAUAAGCAUGAUCGUGCCCUCGAUCUCGAUAAAUUUUUAUGUGUACCGGAAACACGAGCCGCGUAGUUUCUGAAUCCUUGUGUAAUUGCAUUUGAUGUGUUUUAUGAUGGAGUGUUGUGCAAGUGACGAUAAAACAGACAGGGACAUCAGAACUCCUUCUGGAGGAUGGUGAAUUGUCGAUGGGAAUCUCUCUGAUGCGCUUAGUUAAUGUUUUGCCAAUGGUGCAUUUCAAAUGCACGUAUAAUCAGAUAUAGAUAAUGAUGAUAUAAGCUAAUAUUGCCACUACCUCUGAGGCAAAAUCUUUUACUGCUUUCUUUGCUUGAAUUCUGUCGUUCGGAAGUGUUUCUUUGCAUAACGGUAUUCUGUAUACGGGGAAGAUGAUUUGAAUGUAUGUUUACAAAGUUUGAAUGUCAUUAUCUUUUAGUGUAUGAAUUUGUUUUCGAAAGCCUUAUGAUUGAACAAAAGAACGGAGAUUUGAAGGGUUGCUUUUGUGGAAGCUCGACAUUGUGUCGGGCUCCAAAAGCACCUUAUGAAAUAAUCGUUCACGCUGGAUAGUAUAUGAAGGCUUUCUCACAAAUUCUACAUCUUGUCUGCCUUCUUUGCUCGUCAGUAAUCUCUUCGUGGCCAUUUUGUUUCUUGUGAUCUCUUAAUCGAAAGUUUUUGUCAUUCCUUUUCCCAAAUCAGUCCUUGUUCGAUCUUUUGUUGGGAAGUAAGUCGAUAAAAGUUCUCAAUUACGUGAAUUUCUUAGUACACUCAUCUUAUAUUGAUUAAGAGUGAUGCUAUUCUCGUCCAGUUAUCUUAUUUUUUCAAAUGGCGGGAAAAAUAAGACAAGUGGGCAGGCAUAACAACUCUCUUGUUUAUAAUGGUUUAUAGCGAAUGAGUGGAAUUAGAUGAAAUGACACUUUAGAGAGUUUUUUUUAUGGAAAACUAAUGAAAAGGGCUUGAAAACUUUGAGUUUUAAUGAUUAGGACAAAAUAAAGGGAAAAGUGAAUAGUACCAGAUUUGACUUUUUAGUGUAAAAAUGUGGUUUUUCGUUAAAGUGAACAAUACCGUGGGCUUUUCGUUAAAACUCCCUUUUUUUUAUUAACAUCUCACAUGUUGUUGAAUAUACUUAACAUAAAAAUGUAAUACUAAACAACUUGUAACUCUAAUAUAAAAUGACUGUUCGAGCCCUCAUAGCUAAUAUAAAAUGACUAUUCGAGCCCUCAUAGCUACUCUUACUCUUCAUUGUAGAACAAAACCCUAAAAACAUAAACACAUUGAUGAAAAAAUAUCUUUUGAUGAACGGAAUAAUAAAUUGAGUUUUGCUUCUCAUUUAUCCGUUGGUUUUCACAUUCAAGAAAUUAUUUAAAUAAUGGAAUAUAAAAUUGAAGUUUCUUCGAAGCCUUGCUUGAAGUUUCUCCAAAGCUUUGCUCUAAUUGGAAUCUAAGAAAUAGGAAGAAAACAAGAGAAUGUUGUAAAAUUUUAAGAUGUAAUUAAAUGUAAUAUUCUUGUGGUUUGAAGAUUAAGAAAUUCAAAGUUUCUUGGUUGGUUGGAAUUGACAUGAUCGUAUAAGAACAGUUCUUACCAUUUGUCCAUUAGGCUUCUUAGAAUCCAACUUGAUUGUUCAAAAAAAUUUGACGGAUGUUUAUAAAUCAAACGGUAAGAUGAAGAUUUUAUACAACAAUUUAAUUCAUUUUUCUUGUCUUUUAAAUGCUGAUUAUUCUAUUGUUUGAAAGAGAUGAAGAGUUUGAUGUGUGGUUAAUUAGUUGAUGAUUGUGGGGGUGUAUGAGAUGUGAGGUAAGAGUAGUAUACGUGGUGUGUUAAGAAAAAAUUUAAUUUGAAAAGUAAAUGUGGGGUGUAUUAAGUACGUGAGGUGUAAUUAACAAAAUGUGGGAUGUUAAUAAAACAACCCCUAUUAUAUUGUUGUUUUUAUUGCGGAGUAGAUCUUUAAAGAUCGAUGUGAAAUUAGACUGUUUGAAUCACCAAGUAAUGUUACAACGCCCACAAUGUAACAAAGGAAAAUUUUAUCCAAACCCGAUAAUUCUCUUUCCGAAGGCAACUCAAAAACGUUGGGAAAAAAAAAAAAAAAAGAAGAAAAGAAACCACCUUAAAAACUUUGUUCUACAAACCUACCAUGUUACCCUCAAAUGCAAAAGUUACAAACUAGACAAAAACAAGAACACAAACACAUAAACCACCUACCGUGACAGCAAUCGGACCUUCAUGACCUAAUUAAAAAAAUCAGCAAAUUGUAGCUCAAAAUACAAGUGCGGCCUUGCAAUUCUUUUUUUAUUUUUUGAUAAAAAGGGGACCACCUGGUAACAGCACCAUAGCAGUCCACAUUUUGAAGGGCUAGGAAGACUAACACAGAUGUUUCAACCUUCUAUAACCACCAUCAUGUGAUUCACUAGUGCCAAGAAUCGAAAGCAGGACGUGCAUCUUGCAAUUCUUGAAUGUGGACAAGUUAAAAAGCUAUAUAUGCCUUCAAGGAUGACAAGGCUUGUAGUCAUUUGAGACUGAGUGAAGAGCGAAUUGAUGAGACACCAAAAUUUGAGAGAGAGAGAGAGAGUGGUCGAUGUCACCAUAACAACCCUUAUAUUUCUCCAACGAACCCAACCUAGCUCAGGCAACACGUUCUCCUGAUGUCGUCAAAGACCACAACAUCCCCUAUCUUUGUACUGUUCUUAUCCACCUUCACGCCAAUUGUGGCUCUCACAGCCAUUUCGACCAACCAUUCACCAGUUGAUAAUAUCUCUCUACACCCCUUUUUUUGGGGCAUAAUUGAACAAAGUCUAACGAAUGUAGAAAUAAAUUUACUGGGUUCAAAUAAAAUUUUCCAUUACUAGAUUAUCAAAAUGUUCACAACUCACAUCUUAUCCAAUUAUUUAUCCAAAUCUUCGAGAAAAAAAAAAUAAUUGUAUCUAACAUGGAAGUGGAAAAUAAAAACUGCACAUUGCUCUGGAUUUGCGUGGAUUCUGCACGUUUUUUUAUCAAAUAUAUAGCCAACAAAGGGAUGCUGGUUCAUCCUCACUUGCCCAUACUUUUUUUCCAUUAUUUUCCUCCCUGGGACCCACGCUGAGUAGGAUUCUGGGCCCAUCCACGUCAGUUCCACAUUAGUUGACCAAUCAAAACUAGUUGGCCUCCUUUUUGCUUAUUUAUUUUUUUGUUUAAAAUCAUUUUCCAGGAUGUGUAGGGCACAUAUGUGUUCAUUGCUUAGCCUUAACUUUGAAUAAGUAUGUAAUGAACAUUUUGUUGAACUACUUGUAAUCAAAUUAAAUCAAAUUUUUUUUCCACUUAUUAGAGCAUCUCCAAUAAAAGGAUGCAAAUUUAAGAUGCAUAAAUUACGUUUACAUCUCACUUUACGUUUUUGAGAUACAUAAAUAUGAAUUUGUUUUAAAACUCAUUGAGUAAUGAGUUUCAUCUAUUUUUGGCAAUGUUGAUAUGAGAACCGACUUAAUGUAUUUGGUUUAGGAGAAAUUCAUGUCAUAGAUGCCCAAGUAGUGAUAUUUUAAGGCUGGUACUAUCCACACAUUCAUUUUUACUUCUUACAAACUUUUUGUGAAUUUUUGUUCUUUAAUCUUCUUCAAUUCAUUUGAUCACGAGAGAUAAAAAUGGGUGUUUUGAUAGCACCACCCUAUUUUAUAGCCUAUCACUGUUGAGUUUCAUCACUUAAUUGACUUAGAACACUGUGGUUAUGGUGUUAUGAGUGCAUAUAAGUUCUUCUCGGAUCAUAUUAAUAGAGAAGUUUUUUAGUGUGUUGAAAACACAACUCAAUACACAAAAUGUUAUAAUACAAGUAGUUGGAGACUUAAAAAAAAAAUUCUAACAUUUUGUAUAAUAACAAUUAAUAUACCAGAUUGUAUUCACGUCACAUUAAAAAAUCUCUCCUAUUAAUAUGACCGACCUUAUUUUACACCCCACACUUGGCGCACCACACGCCACCAAAUAAAUGGGCCAUUAAAAAAGUGGAUGAUGUUUUCAUGUGAAACGUUUAUUAAGGAGGCAGAUUGUCUGCCCUGUUUGGAUAUCCUUCAUAUUUUUUUUUAUUUGUGAUAUCACGGUUAAGUCACGUUAAUAUUUUAUAUUUUUAUUACUUUUUAUCUUAUUAUCUUUAUAAAAAAAAAUUAAUAUAAAAUAUUAAUAUAAUUUAACCGUGACCGUAUAAAAUAUAAAACAAUGAAAAGGACAUCUAGAGGGCAGACAAUCUGCCUCUGUUUGUUAAACCCACAUAACUUUUUGGGGAAUUGGAUGUUGAAAACAAUACAAAGUUUGGCUCUCCAACUGCCACAUUGAUUCCAAAACGACGGACAAAAUCCCAAAAAGUCCAAAUAUAUCCCAUGAUUCCCUCCUUCUCUAACAAAAGCCAAAUCAUAAUCCAAAUCCAAGAUGCAAAGCCAACAAAGUUUGGCCGGUUUCCAACACCAUUGUUUUAUACUUUCAUUGUCAAAAUUCAAGGGCGGCCACAAAUUGAUUAAAAAAAAAAAUCCACAUAAAGUUACACCUGUGUGGCCUAAAUUUAAAGAGGGGAGAAGGGAAAAUUGACAGAGGUAGACUAGCACGAAGAAUUACAACCUUGUUUGAAAGUGUUUUUAAAAUGAUUAAAAGCGUUUUAGAUGACUGGUGUUUUUUGCUUCUUACAUAAAGCACUUCAAGUGCUUUUGAAAUCUAAACGCGUUUUUCUCUAAAAAAACGUUUUUAGUUAUCUUAAAGCACUUCUAAAUGAACUUUACGUGUGUAAUAUUCCAUGUGCCUUGUGAUUUUAUUUAUACUAGUAACGGAUAGAUUGUGAUUUUAUUUAUACUAGUAACGGAUAGAGAACUUGCUCUCCAAAAAUCUUCAUUGUCCCAUAGAAUUCCGAUUUACCCUCUUAACGUUCAAUUUGGUUCUGAUUUGCUCUCUUAACAUAUAAUAUGGUUAUGAACUUAUGAGUCUCCGUUAAUCUUAAAAUACAUACCAAUUUUUUCGGUUUAUAUAAGUUUUAAUGAAAUAAACUUGGAAUUUUGCCGGAAAAUUUGACACUAAGAACAAGUUUCAAAAAAUUAAAGAGGGAAUUGAAAAGUUUCCCCCAGCUGGAAUGAUUGACAAAAUAAGUUUGGGGCCUGCAAGAAAAGAUCGUUGCUAGGACCCUGUCAAGAUUGCCAUGCACUUUUUGAAAUAAUUCAAGAAGUGUGACAAAAAGCACUUCCAAGAAAAGCACGUUUUGGUUAAUGCUAGGGUUUGAAUAGAUGAAAAAUAGGAGAGGCAAAUUUGAAGCCAACAAGCUUUAGAUCUGAUUAAAAAUCAUUAAACAGAUCACAAUAUCCAAUCUAAAUAACAGAUGUAACCAAACUAGGCAGGGCUCGAUGUAAAAAAAGCCAGAGCCACCUGCUUAUGGGAAACCCAAAAGCUAAAAGAUAUGUACAACCACACCAUGUAGGAAACUGCCCUAGAGAAGCUGCUUUUAAACUUUCACCAUGGAACUUUCUUCCUCUAGUUCUAUGCUAUGGCCAGCAUUGCUCCAAACACCCGAAAAAUCUACGCUUUUCGCGAGCAGAUCCUCCAAUCUUUCUUCCUUCGUGGAAGUCGAUGAUGUUGUUGAUAUUUCACCUAUUGAAGCUAGCUUUAGUAUCUCAGAUUCAUCCAACCCUUUCGCCGGCCCAAGAUUACAACGAUCGGACCCGUGUUUCGCCAGUGCAUCUUUGAAUUUCUUAAUCUGUUAAAUAAGAAUUCUGACUCAGUUGCUUGAUCCACAAACAAUCCACUAAUUCGUUGCAAUUAAAACUCGAUAAACAAGAUCAUGAUUGCAGGAAAUACUCACAGUUGCAUUGGUGCAGCUAAAGCUACACACGCGACCAUCUGCGCCUCUAUAGAAUCUAAAGAAUGGCAGCACAUGAAUGUUGAGAGCAUGACACAUAGUCUUGUGCUCUUCAUAGUUAACUUUGAGGAAAAUCGCAUUGGGGUUCGAUUCAGCCAGCUGACAGAUCUGAUCAAUCAAUCAAGUUUCAGAUUAAAGCUUAACAAAUAAAUCAAUCAAGUUGCCAUAAUUCCGAGGCGGAUUAGUGUGCCGUUGGUCCGUCUCUCUGAAAUGUAUAAAUCGGUUGCCAGACAUAAACUAAAAACCAAAUAUAUACCUUGGGAUGGAGAGCUCUGCAGCCUCCACAGCCAGGUGAGUAAAAGUCAACUACAACCAAUCUGUCCCCAGCAUUUUUCAAGGAAUCAACAAGUUCUUGAGCAGAAUGGAUCUCCACCAUGUUGGGGUGAAGGGUCUUUUCCCACCACCUCAUAGCUCUGCUUAUACAGACAGAUGCUUGUGCCUGAAAAACCAUAAAUUCCCAAUUAAAAAAAGAUCACAAAAAAUGCAAUGGGAAAACACAACAACCUACAAAAGCCAAAAGCCAAAAGUCAAAAGGGAGAAAGGAGAGGGCUUUACAUACAUGCACAGAGAAAUUGCUAGGUUUUCUGACCCUACAAUUCUCCAAACCCUUGUGAUCUGAGAGAGUCAUGGGUUUUCCCAAGAAAUCAACACUCAAUGAAGGAAAAGCUCUUGAAUUUGCAUCCUUAAAUUGUGAGGUACUGAAGGAGGGAGAAACCCUGAAUUCCCCUUUGGGGGAUUUGGAGCCAACUGCAAUUUCAUCCAACCCAGAAGAAAUGCAGAAACCACUCUGUGAUGCAAAUGCCUUGGCCAUGUCGAAUCAAACGCCCUUUUUCCGAGAUUUCACAACGAAAACAAGAAAACCCACCAAAUCCCACUUGAUCCUCUGCCUAAAAAACCACUUUUUCGAAUCGAAACGGCCGAAAAAUGGAUCAAAAUUAAAUCAAAAGUUCAACAAAACUUGUUCUUUUAAACAAAAAGUUCAAAAGCUUGGAACAAAAAGCUGCGUCCUUUUUAACUAAAAAUCUAAUUGACAAGAGUUGUGCCGGUUCUUUGAAAACUUGGGCGUGAGAGAGAGAGAGAGAGAGAGAGGGGGGUGGGGUGCGAGGAGGAAGAAGUGGGGUAUUUAGAAAAAAAAAACGAAAAUGGUUAGGUGGGGUCCUUCUGAUAUGGAUUUUUACUGUUAUCCAAAAACUAUUUUUUAGGUUAAAAUCUGGGAUUCUUAUCCAAAAAAUUUAUUUCUAUUUUUAUUAUUUUUUGGAUAAAUGACACUGAAUUAUAGCUGUGUCUUGAUUAUAUAUGGGAUUAUAUAUGUUGUAUUUUUGGAUAUUGUUUUCGGACUUGAGUUGGCAAGUUUUUAAACAAUUGCUAUAUUUCAGGAAAAUGUUUGGCAGUCAAAACUUCCAGUUUUGUGUAAAUAUUAAUUGGGAUAUUUAAAAAAUUAUGAAAGCGGAUAAAUUUGGCAGCUGAUAGCCAGAUUGCGUCUGCGUCAUCAAAAUUUAGAUAAGAAGAUUAUCUUUUAAUCUCUCUUUUUACUUGCUCGAGUAAAAUUGUUUCUUAGUUUUUGACUUUUUCUUUAUGGUAAAUGCUAUUUUGGGUGGUAAAAUCUUUACCUUUGUGAAAUUCGUACUAUUUUCUGAUAAAAAAAGUUCAGUUUUUGUAUCAAGAGAUGCGUAUAGUCAAAUUCUUAUUUUUAUAGAUAAAUUAUCUUUCUUGAAUGAUUUUAUUUAAGAGAAUUUUAACGAAAAGUUUCCGAUACUGUUUAUUUUAACCAAAAAUCAUAUUUUUACACUAAAAAGUUAAUUAUUUUACCCUUUAUUUUGUCAUUAUCAUUAAAACUCAAAAUUUUCAAAUCAUUUUCAUUAGUUUUCAUUUUAUUUAAUUAUUGCAGGAACGUGAUUUGCUUAGCCGUUAUCACACGCUAUCGUAACAAGACAAAUAUUUUAACACGUGAAAUGUUUUGUAUCAAAUUUCAAUAAUCAUCGUGUGUGAUGUAUCAUACAAUAUAGUGUACGUUGCUAUUAUGGUUAGUAAAAAUCAUUUUCUUUGCGAAAUUCUUACUAUUUUCUAAUAAAAAAAGUCAAGAGAUGCAUAUCAUCAAAUUCUUCUUUUUAUAGAUUUUAUAGAUAAAUUAUCAUUCUUUCAUAUUUUUAUGUAAUUCCUCAUAAUUUAAUUUUCCACCUAUUACAUAAACGCGGUUUGCUUAGCAGUUAUCACACUUUAUAACCAUUGUAGCUAGUAGUCAACAAAUAUUUUAACAUGCGAAAUGUUUUGUAAUCGGUGUCCCUUAACCACCAGUUGUUAGUUUAAUAGUAUCUUAAAAAAUAUUCCAAGUUCAAACUUUCACCUUGUUGGUCGGCCAAAAAAAAAAAAAACUCUUGAAAUUCAAGCUAGGAAAAUUCGUGCGAAGCUAAUUUUAAAAUUCAUUAGAGGUAAUUUUAGAUUUUUAGAAUUACAAGGGUUUUGUUUAAUUACCAUCAAACCUUAAUAAUUUAAAAUUUUAUUCAUAUGUGUAGGGUGGAUUAACUUCAUACCUAAUCAUUUGAUCAUAUGAAAACAAGGGAUCCUGACAAGGCAUAAGACAUGACCAGGGCUAAUGCUUUCUGUCUUCUAUAAUUUCUUAUUAAUCUUACUUAAUAAACAAAUGACAAUUAGAUACUUUGUGGUCAGUCUUCUGCUUAGUGCUUAAUCAAUAAUGGCAAAUCUUGGUCAUAAACUAUGACUUAAACAAUAAAUUAAUACAACCACCACGGAAUAACUUAAUAGUUGGGAACGAAUUUCAGACGCGUAUUUGAUAUGGUAUGAUUUGGGUUCAAUUACCAUGAAUCCACGAUAGUGAUCAGGUAAAGGCUGAAAUACAACUGUGAGUUUUUUUACUAAAAAAUGAUGGAAUGUCGUAACGAAAUCACUAGCUAAUCUUCUUUAAAAAAAACAAUAAAUUAAUACAAAAUAUCUACUGCAAAUACACGAUCGAUAGACACACUAAGGUUGAGAUGCAGAUGAUAGUUUCCCAUUAAUAAUUAUGUGUGCUGAGUCAUGGUACAAGAGGCCUAAUCCGAUCCCUAAAUCAAGGGAAAAAGAAAGAAAAUAAAGUUGUAUUUAAAUUAAAUUUUGAUAUUUCCAAGAAGUUUGAAGCUCUGCACUUUACUCAACCGAAGUCUCUUUAGAACGCAAGUCAGUUAUUAUUUGUUAUUUGUUUUUUUUGUUCAAAUAAUUAAGUUAGUUGUUGGAUUAAGAGAUAAUUGAUUUUAUAUUAGUUAACACGGUUAAAUUAAGUACAUGAUCACAUCAUGUAACGUGGAGGUGAUUCAUAAUUGACUUAGGUUCAUCUUCUACCUCUUAAGAAUAAAUAUUUUAAUAUUUUAAUAUUAAAAAAAAAGCGACAGUGCGAAGACUUUAUCGUUACUUAAUUUCUUCACUUUCAAUCUUUUUAUUGACGUGAUUAAUGUUUUACGACGCAGACUCAUCUCUUAGACUUUAGUUUUCUAUUUUUUGAUUGGUUAAUCGCUUAUUUAAGUGUCCAAUUUUGGACUUAAACUCUGAAGUUGAAACUCUAUUUCAUAUCCUAAGCCAUUAAUCAUGUCAAUAAAUAAGAUCAAAACUAAAGAAAUUGCAUAAAUGUAAUAUCUUCUUACAUGGCCAUGCACAUAGAAUUUCUGUACCUACACGCAUAUAUAUAUAUUAGAGAUAUUAUAUUCACACAUCCCAAAUUACUUCUCCAACAUUUUUUUAAUUUUUUUAAUAUUUUCUACACACCACUAAUACUUGAUAAAUAAAUAUUAAAAAAUUAAAAGGAUGUGAGAGAAGUAAUUUGGGAUGUAUGAAUAUAAUAUCCUUAUAUAUUAUAUAUAUUCAUUUUACUUCCUCCGAGUUUUACAAACUAACUGAGGAUCCCCCAAAAUAAUUCCAUUUUCAAUGGCAAAUGGCUGCCGGCAGCAAUAACUGCAGGUGCAGGCAAAUACAAAAAUGGAGUAGGACCAAAAACCCACAUAGAUUAUGGGAGUGUCAUGCAAGGGAGUUGGCUCGGAUAUUUUUCCUCUGGAUAAAAUUGCGUGACAAUGAGAGCACUGAGAUAUAUAUUAGUUCUGGAUGAUGAGAUGAUGAUGAUGAUGAUGAUGAUAAAGUUCCACUACAUCGGCAUGCGCAUGCGUUGAUCUGUUUAUUUCAGUUCAUGAACCUCUUUGCCCACAGAUUUUGAGCAUUUUUUGUGUGCUGAAAGUUAGGGUGGCCCAUAAGUUUUGAAUUUGGAACACUGGUUCGCAAGAAAACCAAGGUAAAAGGUUCUUCUAGAAUCCAUCGAGUUUUGGAACUGUUUUUUCUCGUGCCACACGAGUCUACACCAAGCAAAGAAACAAGAGGCAUAUCAAUGUGCAGUAUUGUUCUCCAUAACCCUAAUAAUCCAAUUACCAUCAAUCCACUUUACUGUUUUAUUAAUUUAUAUUUCUUGAGCAGUCCAAGGCCAAGUGGCAAAUUGGUUCCUUGUUCUUUUAGCUAUGGUAUGCCUAUUUUCAUUUUUGUCUGGAUUGACAGAGUUUAGUUCUCUCGGAUGAGAAGAACUUGCAUGUAAUUGAGACGUGAAGGUGCCGGUAUCUCAUGAUCAAUUAUUAAAUGUUAUAUAGACAAGGUAAAAUACAUGGCAACGUAUGAUAUGAGAAUAUUGACAUUUUCCCAUCUAGACUGCAUGUAAGUUCCCCCUAACAAAACCACCGGGACUGUGAGUGUUAAUUAGCUAAAGGAUUGCUCUGUGCGAGACUACAACCAUUGUUCGUGUGUCGUUGAAAUUCGUAUCCUACAUCGAAGGUUUAAGAUAUAUAUAGGUUAGAGCUUAAAAGAUUUUAAGCCUUUUACCUUAUUCUCAAUUAGUAUUAGAUUGGAUGCUCAAUCUAACAAAAAUCAUCGGAUUCCAAUGCAAAGGAAUGACAUUUGACAAAGGUCAUGGCACUCAGACUGACUGCUGUGUUCAUGGCAGUGAAACUGUAACAACUUCAUCAUACUCUCCAAAAGUUGGUGUUUCUUUUCACGAGAACUUAACUAUCUUCAACAUGGUUUUAGUUGAAUAAUAUUAUGUUUUAUCUCUUAGAUAAAACAUUCAAAGGUUGUAUAUAUACAAUAACGUCUGGAUGUUUGAAGGGGUGUAAGUGAAACUGUGGAAGAAUAUUAAACAAUGCAUGAUGAUUCACUUGACAAGCUCCUCCUUCUUUCCAGCCUCUUCCAACUCUCUUAGACUUCCAACCUUCUGUUCUAUCUCCUCAAUCAGCUCCUCCCUCCACAAUUCUGCUCUUGCUGAUUCUUCUAUGUCUUCUUGCUGCAAUAAUAUCACCAGUUAUACCACAAUUUUUAGUUGUAGGGCAAGCAAAAUAUAUAAUUGAAUCUUCAAUUAAUUAUGAUGCUCAUAUCACUUUAUAUAGGAGGCUAGCACACAUGGACAGGCAGGGUUGCCAAAACAAGCCAAAAAUCAGUUUACAAAGUGGUCACUAAACAAUAGUAAACAAACAAAAAAUAUUAUUUGGUUGAAAGUCUCGACAAGGUUUUAACCAAACCACUCUUUACACUUGUUCCUUUGUACAUUGCAUUCAUUCAAUGAGUGUCAUUAUUCACUCAAAAGACAAAACCCUUGUCAACCACUAAUACCGGGUGCAAUAACAGUUGGGUUUAGGGGAGCUUCUUCUUCAAACGGUCAUUCAAGUGUUUUUUGUUUUCUUAAUAAGAAAUGGAGUUUUGAGGCGUUAAUUUGUAAGAGCCCUUAAAAUAUAGCAAGCCCUUCUUAUUCUCCUUUUCAAUGGGAAGAAGCCUUUUUUUUUUCCUGAUAAAACUAUGAGAAGCAAUUGGUCUUUUGCUUAAUCUAUGAUCUAACUCAACAUUAUUCAAAAGUGUGAAAAUAUUUUUUGGAGAUAGAUACAUAAAUGGGAAAUUAAAGUAAUUUACAUGAUAAUUAAGUACCUUCUCAUAAAUCCAGAACCCAGUGCCAUCACCUCCAUCUCCUCUAUACGUCUCUGAAUCGUAGUACGGAUCCUGCAAACAUUCACCCACCCUUCAAAAUAAUCUCUAAGCUAAUGAAAUAAUAUAACGUAAUUAAAUUUCCAAAGAAAAAAGAGUGAAGUGAGAGUAGCUAAUUAACUACCUUCAUGGAACCAAAGAACAAGCAUCCCCAACAAGUGAACAUGAUGUAAAAGGUAUCUACAAAAACAAAAAAUUGUCACAAUUUUCAUGCAUUCCCAACUGAAAUCCACCACAAACUACACAAAAACAAAUAAAAAAAAAGGUAAUUAGGAAAUAUAAUACUUACAGACAUUCUUUAUGUUUUCAUCACUGAGAUGCACAAUGGAUUUGUGGGUUAUGAGGUCUCUCUGGCCUUCUAUGUGCUCUACUAGAACUGCCAUCAAAGGCCAAUCAGGGAAAGCAUUUGUUCUGCAGAAAGAGGUUCUUUUGCUCUUUUUCCCUAAUUCAACCUAUAAAACCAAAAUUAAUGCAGAAAAUGGUUUUUGACAUAUUCAUAAAAAUUCAAAUUUUUGGGACUAAGAAAUUAUCAAUAUGGUUAAUUACCUGCUUGCAGCCGCUGAAUGGUUCAGAGCUUGAAGACUGCCUAAGCUGCAAAAAAAAAGUACUCAAAAGCAUUUCCACGUACCAUAUUGUUUACAAGAGACAAUACACUAAACUACUCUAAGCUACACGUUCGAAGGACAUUCAAACUGUUUUGGCCAACUGAUCUAAUCCACGUCCGCCCAUGUACCGUUUCAAACAUAACAAGAAAAUUUGAGAUAAGGAAACAGGUUGGAUGUUUACCAAUCUGGUAGAUGAGCUGCUGAUGUCCAACUUUGUUGUUUGGAGAGAAGAGCUAUGAAUGUGUGGAGUGGUAAUGGUGAAUCCCAUGAUAGCUUUUGCCAUUGUCUCCAAUGAGUUGAGCAGCUCUGCCAAAUUCAAUUGUAGGAGUUUAGGUUGCAAUUUUUGUUUUUCAUUGGUUUGGAGGGAAUGUGGAUAAGAGAACCAUUUGCAACCACCCUUCAUUUAAAGUUCAAAGGCAUAUGAACAUUUGAGAAAUGGAUAAAUAUAAUAUUUUAACAUAAACCGCCAACAGGCCUAUUAGCUCAGCUGGUUAGAGCGUCGUGCUAAUAACGCGAAGGUCGCAGGUUCGAGACCUGCAUGGGCCAUGUACUUUUUUCCUGUUUUACUUUAUUAUUUUGUUUAUUUAUCCUUUUUUUUUUAACUUCAUUACAUUUUCAUUCUCCUUCCCGAUCUGUUUUCUAGGAAAAUCCGUCUAUUUUCCCGGAAACCCAAUUCGAUUUUCCCGGAAAAAUUCAUGGGGAGGACUGGAUUGUUCGAUCUGGAAAGUCACUUCGCCUUCUAUGGCGCUUACCACAGCAACCCAGUUAACAUUUUGAUCCACACUCUGUUUGUGUGGCCGAUUUUCUUCACCUCUCUGGUUCUCUUCUACUUCACACCUUCUCUCUACAAUUUCCCGAACGGUUUCUGUUUGAAUUUAGGGUUUGCUUUCACUGUGAUCUAUGCUGGGUUUUAUGUGUGCUUGGAUAAGAAAGCUGGGUCUGUUGCUGCUCUGCUCUGUGUUCUCUGCUGGGUUCAAUCCACCCUGCUUGCUAGCCGUCUUGGGUUUUCUGUGUCAUGGAAGGUAAAGUAAACAUUCUCCUUUUUGUGAUUUUUUGGGUGAUGAUUUUAUGGUUCUAAGGAUUUGGUUUUUGGGUUUGAUAUGAUGGUUUUCUAACUUUUUAAUCUGAUUAAAUUUGCUGUCUUUUUACUGAAAUUAGGUUAGGGUUAAGCACUUAUGGGUUAGGAGUUUUGAUAGUUUUGUUGACCAGUUCAACUUGGCUAGCUCUUGGCUUUGCUCUGGGUUUUUUUGCAUUGAUAUCAUAGGACCCAAUUGUCCCACCCACUAACGAUCUCUAAAAAUUAAGAUACGAUACGCCAUGGAUAUGACAAAUAAAAAUAUACAAUUUAAAACAUAAUUCAUCAUUCAAGUUCAACUUCAUUUGAGUUGUUUGCGAAGAAAAGAUGGAAAUCUAAUCUUCUUCAUGUACAGUAGAAGCGUGAGGUUGUAUUCAUGGUUUUAAUUAGAGAGAAGCUCUUUGUACUCAUCAACUUUCGAUUGUAGCCGUCUCUUAUUAACUUUGGGGACAUUCAUGUUUGUUUAGGUUUGCUUGGACCUUAAGCUUACCUGAUUUCCCGUUUUGUCUCCUUUGCCGUGUUUUUCUGUUUCCAACGUUUUGCAGUGUAUUUGAAUGAAAUCCCAAGUCGACCAAAAUACGAAAAUUAUUAAUCUCUCCUUCUUAAGCAUGUAGAUAAAUUAACAAUGUAAUCUAACAGUUACAUAUCGAAAACUCGAGUCCUAAUUCUUUGAGGAAUCACUUAUCCAGGUUGUGUUGGCUGCUCAGUUGUUCUGUUGGACUGGACAGUUCAUAGGCCAUGGGGUGUUCGAGGUAACUGAGAUUUUGUAAUUUGCACUGUUCCCAUGUUCCUAAUGCAGUACACAUCUCACGAUAAUCAUUUUCUUGACCGAAGGCAGCAAAAUAUAUAUAUACCUCACGAUAACAUUUCUUUUCAGAAACGAGCACCAGCUCUUUUGGACAACCUUGUUCAAGCAUUUCUAAUGGCUCCUUUCUUUGUGCUGCUUGAGGUAACAAAUCUAAAUCCUUUCCGAACCGGAAAUGGUUUCUCUUGUUGGUGAUGAGUGAGUCAAUUUUGUUCUUGCAUCAUGCAGUGUCUUCAAUCGGUAUUCGGCUACGAACCAUAUCCAGGGUUUCAUGCAAGUGUGGAAGAAAAGGUAGAAGCUCAGAUCAAGGAGUGGAGGGACAAGAAACAAAAGAAAAUCACUUAGCUUAGAUGGGCUAUAUCAGACUGUAAUCACUAAAAACUAGUACUGUUUAACCCUUUGUAAAGAAUGAGAUUAAUGUGUUGAUCUGUAAUCUCUAUCCGUAUUUGUCAAGUAUUGUACACUUUACCAUACUCUGGUUUUUCAACUCCCCCAUCCUUCAAGUUGGAAUAUAAGUGUUUGUGCUAGAGAUGUAUUUACUAAGUCUAAGUUUCUAGAUUUAAUGUAAGUCGUUGGAUUAUAGUUCAAAUGUGUAGUUAAGAUGUAAUCUUAGAGAGGUUCCUCGCUGGAUCCUCACAAUGAUGAUCUUGGAAUUCUCCAAUCACAUUCAUUUAUCAUAUAUCGUGUGGUUAAAAAUUAUUGUAAUUUAAAAAAAAAACUCAAAUACGGAUCUUCGAGACCCACAAAGAGGAUUUGGCGAGAAUCCUCUUCCCUUUCUAACAACCAAAAACAUUCUUGAUCACAUUUAUCAGAAAAGUUUAAAUGUGCUUCAUAGAAACUCGUGUUGGAGAACCUCAUGCUAGAUGUGCUUAUCCAAUUACUUGAUGCUUUAAAGUCGUUUCUGUUUGACAAGGCAGCUAGCGGAAUUGUAAUAUAAUCAUUUAUGUUGUUGCUUAUAGAUCUUUUUAAGAUUUUUGUUUAAGCAAUUAGUUGAAUGAUGAUCAGUUAUUCAUUACGCUUGAGUAAUAAGAUUAUUGGAACAAAGUAUUAUUUAUUAAUAUUGAGUUUGGCAUGGAUGAGUGGGAGAAAUUGAUUUUGGUUUUGUUAAGCUAGUUAGUUCAUGUUUCUUAUGAAGUUAUAAUUCAUUUUGAUGCAUAUGAAUCAAACUGUGGUUUGAUUCAUUAACCGGUUGAAUUAUUACUUUAUUACCCAUUUGUUGUUAACUAAAGCUUAACAUUAUUGUUGUUAAGUUUGGCUACAUAAGUAGGAAUAAUGAUAUUGAGUUUGCUUUGACAGUUGAACACAAUAUCGAUGCAAAUUGGAUAUCUGUAAUAUUGGAAUCCGUUAUGCAUUAUAAUUGUAGUAGUGAUUCUUUGAUUCUAUAAUUUGAAAUGCAUUGGUAAAUUUUUUUGUGAUGAUAAACUAUUUUGGUUUAAAACUUAGUGAUCACUUCUAAAAUGAUUUUAAAAACCUGUGCAACACUUUUACCUUAUGCUCAAGUGGGAGAAUGUUAAAAUAUAAGCAUAAGUGUAGGAGUAUUUUGGCUAGAUAUUUUAGUGCAAAUUGGUUUAGAAAAGUCUUAUUGAAAGAGGUUUGGAUGUCCUAGUUUAUAUACGAUUGAAAUUGGGAAUUGAUCCUAAAUUACUCACUUAUUACAACUGGGAGACGAUGUUAGUUUCCUAUAAGGAUUCUAAUAGGAGAAUCAUAUGGAUUGUUUCUAUAUAUAAAUAGUGGUCACUGCUCCUAUAAAAAACUGCCUCAUUAUUGGGCUUAGACCUAUUGAAAGUCAAGCAUAUUAUUUUUGCAAGAGAGAAGUUUACCAUUGAAGUUGGCUAUAUCUUCAUCUUCUUCAUUGUUUUUAAAGGUCAGAUUAUUCUUACAUGUCUUUCUUUAGCUUUGGCGACAGAGUUUUUGAAUUUAGGUGCCAAAGGUGGUUAACGGUCAUAUAUAAACGGACAACGAGUAUUUCUUGGAGGAAGGAGACUUCGCUGCUGAAUAUUUCAGCAGGAGGUCUUGCUUACACCCAAUCUCGAGUGGACAUGGGUGUAAGCAGACCUCGUGUUGAAAUGUGAGCAGCCAAGUUGUGUUCUUCUUGGAGAUGCCAUCGUGUGAGAACAAAGUUACAAAUCCAGCCAAACGUUGCAUCAAAUAGCAAGUUUUGCAGAAAACAUGAAACGAUAACAAAAGUUUGGUUGAGGCCUUUCUGUUCUUGGGCCUUCAACUUUUGAUGGGCCUUGUUCUCUAUAUCCGUUUUGGAUUAAAUUAUUUCAGGAUGAAAUCUACAGAAAAUAACACACAACACCUCGUGGCAGGUGAAGAGAUUACAUACAAGCUACUAACAAUACAUUGUGGCAAUAUUUCUCUCCAUUGGUAAAUGUGAGGCCUCAUAUUCAAGUCCAUGGUGAGUUCAAUACGUAACUAUGACAAAUUCAUUUUGUGACUUAUCUUCCCCCUUGGAAGAGGAUUUGCUCCGAAUCUUAGUGUCCAAAGCCUCCUCAUCAAGCAAUAUGGGUCAUUGAUUGGUGUGCAAGUCAAAUCAAGGUCGUCGAUUGUGUGUGGUGGGCCAGAAAAAUGAAUUAAUAGAAACCGUUGGAUUUAAUUUAUACGGCCCAGAUUGUUUGAUGAGGAGGCUCUGGACACUAAGGUAUCGUUUGGUAAGCAGACAGGACGGAACGAAAUGGGACGGGACCGGACAAGAUGGAAUGAAGAGGAAGCAAAGAUGCCCUCGGAUGGAAACAAAGAGGAAUAAGAAGGAGACGGAGAUGUUAUAAUUUUGUAUUCCACGGAUGUGGAACGAAUCGUUCCAGGAGUUUAGGCAGAAUGAAAAUUUACCCAAAACUCAUCUCGUGGAACAACGCAUUCACCAAACAUGAGACGAAACGUCUCGUCCCACUCUAUUCCGUCUCGUCCCACAUACCAAACAAUACCUAAGGUUCGGAGUGGAUCCUUUUCCUUCCCCCUUGAGUAGAAUAUUGUUGUCUAUGAAAAAGAGGGGAUCAUUCAAAGAAUCUCCCCAUAAAGAGAUCACAGUUUCCUAAGCAACACCUGACACCACCUCGUUUCAGAGAUAUACUAAUAGCAAAUAUCCUCAGUUAUAGAGAUUUUUCAGUGUCUCUAUCAUAAAAGGUGGUACAUCACAUGUUUUUAUAGAAAUUAUAGGUUAUGUGUGUUAAAAGAUUAAUAACUUAAAAAUUAAAAAAUUUCACUACUUGCAUAAAAACACAUAAUGUACCAUCUAUAUUUCCGUUACAACUAAAAAUUUCUCCUUAUUACACCCAACUAUCAUCCCAAAGAGCUUAUAGCUUACUAAUACACAACACCUGUUAGUAUCAUCAGUUAUGUGUAUGCGAUUACUGUGCAAGUCUCUCAUGUGGUUUACCUUUUCCUUUUUCAGACGAAUACUUUGGAUUUACUUUUUCCUUGUUUGAAUGGAUGCUUUUGGGUUGGACUUUAAAAGUUUAAUUUUGCAUGCAAUAAAGUUCAACCUGUUAUGUGGUUUGCCUUCAUAGAUGAAAAAUGAGUGGUUUUGCGAUUUCUGAACUAUCUUUCCUGUCCUGAAUUUAUUUAUUCACAUGGGACUCUGCUUGGAAAGAUAAAUGCAUUCAUCCAAGAAGCACUUUUGAAAACAGACUAUUAGGGACUUUGAAAGCUAUCCAGAAGGCCAUGGAAAAAACAAAAUCGAUAGCUUCUCUGGAAAAACAUGUUGACUGAUACAAACCAAGAAGCACUUUUGAAGAAAAAAGUGUACCCAAUAAAGCCACAACUCAAAUCAAAUGGACAUUUCUACUUUGGCUUUCUUAAAAUUUAUGAGCUUCAGUUGUUACAUUGCACAAGGAAAAUGCUUUACUACCCACAUGCCCAAAAGAGCUUUUUAGCCCUGUUGGUGUGCGUAGAAGAAGCUCACAAGUACUUUUCUAUUUACUCAUUCCUUGUUAUGGCAGUGUUAGGCUGUUUUACACAUGGGCCUUAUGCUUGAAAACCAAACCAACUAAUUGAAAUUAUCUUGCUUAGAGCUGAGUGUAAUUUCUUAGUGGCUAAGUGGGCAAAAGAAGAGAAAACGAUCUAAACUAAAUUCCAGGGGAGAGAUUCAAACUUUGAUAUAUACAGAUGAGAAGCGCAUUACACCAUCUAAUUUGGCUACGUCCAGAUCUACAGAAUAGUACUUUAGUAUCUACAUAUUAGCUAACUUGACUAAAUUGGCCUCCGUUUAUGGCAAUCUGUACAAGACAAUUCGAGUUCAUUGAAGUUGAUAUUCGUCUAUAAUUGAUUUGGCUUUGAUGAAUUAUUGAUCACUUUAUGUCUUCAUCAAUCAUAAUUAGAGCCUAAAAGCAAUAGCUUUUACUUCAAGCAUGAAAUGCAUUUGAAGCCAAUCCACAUUUAGACACACUGGGAAUUAAAAAAAAAAAUCAUUUAGUUUAGUCUAAUUCGACGUGGCUCAACCGGCCUAAUCUUUGGGAUUAAAAAGCCAGGUUUAGUUGGUCGAUAAAGUCUAUAUCAUGAUAAUUUAAAACUCAUUUGUUAACGCAUUGAAAAUGAAAAUUAAAGAGAUAAUGAAAAAAUAAAUAAAAACCAACUAGUUGUCUCUCUGCUUUAUUGGAAAACAUCCCAAGUUUAAAUUUUCUGUUCUCUAAUUAAACUAAAAUUAUAUAUGCUCCAUUGUGAGGGUACAUUUGAAGGGAUGUAUAUUUUCUUAGUCUCUAAAAUGCAAACCUGUCUCAUGGAAUAAUAUAGACUUGAAACCCUAGGCAAUCAAACUUUUCAUGACAUCAAGGUUAGCUAAUUUAUUAUUAUGUGAUUGUUGGCUUCAUAUGCUUUGUUUCACUACUUUAUUUGUCACAAAUCGCAAUUUCUGUGGUCACCCUUGUCCAACCAUACCUCCAUAUACACUUGAAAUAUAUAUUUAUAUGCUACUCCAUCCAUUGCAAUUAUUAGAGAUUGUUGUCAAUCUCUUGAAUGUAAUUGCGGCAAUUAUUAUGGUACUUAGAUUUUUAAAUAUUGAUGGAUAAUGGAGCAUCUUCACGAUUAGUAUACGAGUUAUAAUAUUUGUGGAUAUAUAUUAAUGGGUAAUGCUAGACAAACUAUCUAUUUAAACUAUAUUUUGUAAACUAUAUGACGUGCAUGGUUAUUGAUGAUUAAAUUAUCACUUAAAUGUUGAUUAACAUGCUUAUUUUCUAUUGGUGUCAUACAUCACAUGGUUUGCAUAUUUCGUCCAAAAAAUUGAUCUACCUAACAUUAAUCUAUAUUGAUAUUAUACUUUAUAACUAUAAACUCGUCGCCCAUCUAUGUACUAUAAUACAUGAAUUGGUUGUACCAAUUUGAGAUAAUUUUAUUCACACAAUAAUUACUUAAAACCCUAACCAGAUUAAUGGAAAUAUACAUGGUCUCCAUCAUCAUGUAUUGGCUCGAUUAUUUGAACCAAAUGGUCAAAAUAUUAAGUUUGAAUUAUUAUCAAUGAAUCGUUUAAGUUGACGGAAUCCUGUUAAACGUAGUUGGUAUUUGCUAAUUGAUCUUCUUCUUUUUUUUCUUUUUCUUUUUUCUUUUUAAAUUAGUUGUACAUAUAAAAGUUUUUUCAAUUAGCAUUUGUUAAAUGCACAAGUUUUUUAGAUCCUUAUUUCUUUUUCUAUGUGUCUCUUUCCCUCUUUUUCUCAACUACUUUCCGGGCCCCUAGCUUACUUAAAUAUGUUUAACAUAAUUAAAUAAGGGCUGCCAGUACUACAACAUAAUUAAAUAAGGGCUGCAACUUAAUUAUACCGUUUAAUUUGUGGCUUUCAAACAAAAUAUCUUAGUUUGUGGAAUGUUUAUUCUUCUUCUUUAUUUGGUUCAACUUUUGCCUACAGACACGUCUGCAUUAGCUUACUUCAUAUCAGAUCCUUGUGGGUCUCGCUUUCUGGUCAUCAAAAUCUGAUGAAUAUAAUGUGAAAACAACACAUUUGUUUUACUUAAUGAUCGUCUCUUGAUUACUUUAUUAGCUUUGCUUCUAUUUGACUUUCAGUAAAUUAAACUUUCAAAACCCCUUAAUUUAAGGUUGGCUUAAACUAAUUGGCUGUUUAAAUUUCUGCUUAAUUAAUUUUCUUCAAGUAGAUGUGUUCAUUACAACUAAUGAGUGGAGAGUCAAGGAAAAUUGUCAAUCAUCAUAAUCUCCUCCUAAUAAGAGGAGUUAGGAUUAGGCCAAAUGGAUUACGCCAAAUCAUCUUAGAAAUCUACAUAACACUGAGUCAUGAUUUCCAAAAUAUUACAACUUUUUGUUUCUUUGCAACUUUUUUUUUAUAUCUCACAUAGGGAAUGACAGUGGGAUUAUAUAUAUGAAGGCGAAAUGUCGUACUGUACUUAAAAAAAAUGAAACGAUAGAUGAUAUAUUCAUAACCAAAAUCAUUACAAGGUUAAUCAUGGCCAGGAACAUCUUUCUAUGAGGGCGUCCAUGAUUAAACCUGCUGGGGGGAGCGGGGGAAUGUCCCAAGUACAGUCAUGAUUAAGCGUAAGACCAAAAUGAGCAAGUCUAUGAGCAAUUCCAUUAGCUUGUCGGCAAGCAUGGGUAAAGGAAGCUUCAAUGAUUGUAGGGAGCAAAGUCUUGCAAGGGCGGAGUCAGGAUUUUUUCUUUGGGUGGGCUAACUGAAAUUAGUCGAUAAAAUCAAAUGUUUAUUUUUUUGCUAAUAUAAAAUUAUAUAGUAAUCAAUAUAAAAGAACAACAAUAGAAUAUAAAUUAUUCUCAAAAUCAUAACCUAGCCAAUAUAUUCAAGGACAAUAUAAAUACUUAACCUAUUAAUUAAAUCAAGAAUAAGUAAAUAAAGAGAUUAAGAAUGUACCAAAGGUGACUUCAUUGGAAAAUCGCAACGGAAAGUAAGAAAUUGCGGACAUAGGGAUUUACUUGUGGAUUUAAAAAAUUAUUUUUCUUUUCUUGAGUAAGAAGCACAGAGGCUAAAUCGCAUAGGGUGAAUGGUCUUUUUCUUUUACAAAUAGGAUAAAGGAUGGGAGAUAAAACUAAUUUAUAAUUUUUAGCAUAAAACUUAUGGGGUGUGAUAUCUACACACCUUUUUUUACCUCUCACACACCCCUCAUUAAUUUAUGUCAUUUGAUCUUCUUUAAUUCAUUUGAUCUGAUGGCCGGAAAUUAAGAGGGUGUGUGAGAAGUAAAAAGGGGUGUGUAAAUAACACACCCCAAACUUAUUAUUUAUUACCUAUCCUCUACUAAAUAUACAUUAAAUAAUAACCUGUAUUGAAAUUGAAUGGCCUAUAAGCAUGAGAUUACAAAAGAAUAGUGUUAUUCACACUCAUUUUUACCUCCAACACACACUUAUUAAUUUUUUGCCAUUGACCAUUUUCAAUUCAUUUUAUCCAAUAGUCGAAAAUUGAGAGAAGGGUGUGAGAAGUAAAAAUGAGUGCAUGAAUAGCACUACCCUUACAGAAAACCUCCUUGAGCUAUAGCCCACCUUAGCCUUGUGGGUGGCUCCGCCAUUGAAUUGCCUUGAUAUAAAAUGACGUGGAGUAUGUAUGGUCGUUGAGCUUAUGGUCGAACAUGCACACUCAUAUACUAUAAAAAAUACAUGAGGUCGAUCGCACUCAAGAUAACUUGACACUAAAAAAUUAGGAUGAACUACCAAUUUAGUCCAUGAAUUAUCACCUAAGUGACAAUUAGGUCCCUAACUUCUUUUUUUCUUCAGAAAAAAUGAGUCUUUGAAUUAUAAAAAUUUGUCAAUUACAUCCCUAAUAUUAUAUUUGAAGCUACUAUAUUUAGUUUUCAAUCAAUUUAAUUCAUGUUACUUGCAUGUGUAUUGGAGGGUAUAUUAGUAAUUUUACAUAAAGAAAUAGUGUAUGGAGUUACUUUAGAGGGUAAAUUAGACAUUAGAUUCGCAACCUAUAUGAAAUGUUAAGGGCUUAUAGGCGAGAAAAAAAAUGGUGCAACCUAUAUGAAAUGUUAAGGGCUUAUAGGCAAGAAAAAAAAUGGUAUUACACUCUAUAGUGUGUCAAGUGACUUAAGUUAAUGAAAAAUUGGAUAAAAUAACUUUGAAUAUAGUAGUAGGGAUGAAAUUAGCACUUUUUAAUGAAUUUAUGGACUUAUUUUGCCAAAAAAAUAAUUCAGAAACCUAAUUUUGCACUGAAGUGAUAGCUAUGAGACUAAAUCAGUACUUCACCCAAAAAAUUAUAAGCUCAUGCAACAAUUUUUUAACUUUCCGAAAUUAAAAAAAAAAAACAAAAAAACAAAAAUCUCCACAUCCUCACAACAAGUACGUCGUUUAGGUGCAUUAUAUGUAAAACAAAAUUUCUAUCCACCAACCCAUAACUCCUUUCAUUUCUGCUGUAUUGUAAGCCAACAAAGAUUGCUUACUAAAUCUGAAUCCAUUAUUGCUUUUAAAAUUAGAAGAAUCCAGUGAUAACAAAAUGGGAUGUUUUGAAUCACAAUAAAAUACGUAUACUAAUUACGAUUGCAAAGGAGCCACGUACAUUACAUUUACGAAUACACACACACACACACACACACACACACACACACACACACACACACACACACAUAUAUAUAUAUGAACAUCUAAAUUAUGGAAAACAACUUCAAGUGAAUAAAGCUGGAGUAUUCAUGAACUAGAACAUAUUGCUUUUGUUAAUUGUUUUCAGCAGGCGUUGGCCUAAUCUCCCAUUUGUUUUACUUUUCCUUUCUCUUCAUAUUAUUAAUAAAACCUAGUAGAGGGGGGACGGGCGGGAGGUUUCUGGAUGCAACGGUCUUUUCUCUUUCAAUAGAGGAUGGGUGCCUCUCGCAUGGCAGUUGACAAAGAGCUGAUAUCGCAUAAUCCUUAUCUACAAAGUUUAUUUUAAGGAGAAAUUAGGUUCACAUCCUUCUUUUUACUACUUCAUUGAUUAAAAUCCUAUUCAUUUUCAAUUUUUGAUCAAGGUCCUUGGGUAUUAAUUGUAGACAUCGAAAUUGCGGUGAAAUAAAUGUUCACCAACGCAUUAAAAUUUUGACGUGUCAAGGCAUACAUGGCAUAUGCCACGUGUCAUACAAAUUGUACACAUGGUGUGUGACUCAACAAAAUAAAAAGAAAUACCCUUGGAGGAUUACACAAGUUUUUCUUCUCAUUUUGGGCAAUGACAAGGCAAGCACAUUUCAAUCCAUUGAAGAUCAAAACAAGGUUUUCUUCUCAUUUUGGGCAAUGACAAAGCAUGCACAUAUCAAGUUUAAAAUGAUAUUAAGUGGAAAAUUAGGCCAUAAAAUUACCACUUCAAGUUUAAAAUUGUAUUAAGUGGGAAAUUAGGCAAUGGUGCUUGGAAAAGAAAAAAAUAUUUUGUGGUGGUGAUUCAUUCUCAAAGCCUAUAAAUAGGCUUCUACAUCAAGGUAUCAUCAACCAAUUCACAAAUACAUUUCUCUACUCCCAAAAUGGAAGAGAAUACUCCCCACACAUCCAAAAUCCUUGAAGCUUUGAAACUCUAAAGCUUUCAAGCAUCCAACCUCCCAAAUUCAAGCAAAUCCCGAAGGAUCAAGAAGGCCCUCUUCGUUCUUCGUCAAAUCCUCCUUCAAGAUCAAGCCCCAACGGCCCUUGAAGAAAUUCCUCCUUCAAGAUCAAGCCCUAACGGCCCUUGAAGAACUUCCACCAAUUCAAGAUCAAGCCUCGACGGCCCUUGAAGAAAGUGUUCAACAAAUCCACACAACUGUUUUCAUCCUAAGAUCAAGCCCCGACGGCCCUUUUGGAUCAACAACAUCACCAAAUCCACAUAACUGUUCAUCCUAAGAUCAAGCCCCAACGACCCUUUGGAUCAACAACAUCAACAAAUCCACACAACUGUUCAUCCUAAGAUCAAGCCCCAACAGCCCUUUGGAUCAACAACAUCAAUAAAUCCACACAACUGUUCAUCCCAAGAUCAAGCCCCGACGGCCCUUGGAUCAACAAUCAUCCAUCUUCAAGAUCAAGCCCAAAAGCCCUUGAAGAUCCGUUCAUCAUUAUUCUUCAAGAUCAAGCCCCGACGGCCCUCGAAGAAAGUGUUCUUCGUUCUUCGUUCAUCGUUCUUCCAAGAUCAAGCCCCGACGGCCCUUGGAUCAACAAUCCACCAAUUCAAGAUCAAGCCCCAAAGGCCCUUGAAGAACUUCCACCAAUUCAAGAUCAAGCCCCGACGGCCCUUGAAGAAAGCACCAUCGUUCAUCAUCCGUUCAUCCAAGAUCAAGCCCCGACGGCCCUUGGAUCAACAACAUCAACAAAUCCACACAUCCAACCGUUCUUCAAGAUCAAGCCCAAAAGCCCUUGAAGAUCCGUUCAUCACCGUUAUUCAAGAUCAAACCUUAACGGCCCUUGAAGAAACACUCAUCCUCAAGAUCAAGCCCACGACCCCUUGAAGAAACUUCCAACAGUUCAUCCAAGAUCAAGCCUCGACGGCCCUUGGAUCAACGAAACAUCCACAAAUCAACACCUUACGGAGAUCGAAUCAGAGGAUCAAAUUUGAGAGAGAUUGUAACCCAAAAUCAUCAAACACAAAUAUUAUAUUUUGUGCACGUUGUUCUUGUCUCUUUCGUUUCAGGAAUUUUCCGUGUUCACAUUAAUAACAUCAUUAAUUAUUUGAAUAAUAAAAUAUUUUUAUUUUUAAAAAUAUUCCUUUAGUGUUAAAAAUGUUACAAUUAGUAUAUUUAUAUUUAUGGCUAAAUUUUUUAUCAUAUAUUUUUAUUUUUAGUUUGUACCAAUGUUUAAUUUGUACCAUUUUUUUUUCAUUUUUAAUUUGUACCCAUAUAUUAGCUUCUUUUUGUGCCCGUAUUUUUUUAUGUUUUGUUUAUGUUUGUACCCAUGUGUAUACCGUUACGUGAUAUUGUAUAUUUAAUCAAAGAUAGAAAAAUUACAUAUGGUAUAUUUAUGUUUUAUGCCUAAACUUUGUAUCAUAUAUUUAUAUUUUUAUUGUACCCACUUUUAAUCUACAACAUUUUUUUAAAUUUGUAUUAUUUUCUUUUUAGUUUUAUUUUGUACCCAUGUAUUAAUUUCUUUUAGCGCCUAUAUAUUUUUUAAAUUGAUUUGUACUCCUCAUUUUUUAAUCUUUUAUCUGUACCCUAAUAUUUAUAAUGUACCCAUCCUUCUUUAUUAAUGUACCACUUUGUUAUAUGUGAAAUGUAACAAUAUUUUUAACACUAUGGAUACAUUAUUUUGCCAUUUAUUAUUUAUUAUUUUUACAUAGUUUUUAUCCAUUUAUUCAAUAAAAAUGUUUGAAUUUUUUUAUUGUAACCGUUUCUAAUAGUAUUAUAAUGAGAGAUUUUAAAUUUAUAGGAUUAUAAAUCUCAUAAAAUAUCAAACAAUUAAUGUCAAAACUAUAAAAAUAUAAAUAUUAAUUGUAAUAUAAUGAAGUGUACAAAAUCAAUAGACUUUGAUCAAACUUUGAAUACCAUUAAGGUUUUAGUCAAAGAAUGUUAAGGAUUAGGGAUUGCAUCCAAAGUAUCCGUUAUUUUCAAUAUAAAAAAAGCAUAUAUAUACAAGUGUCGAUCACUGCAAUCACAUCCCAAGUUAGGCAGAUCGAACCAUGAAUGUCGAUCAUCCACAGCUUCAAAAUAAAACGGCUCAUAAUAUUAAUGGAGACCUUCAUCUGACAUUUGCCUAACUCAUUAUUUCUUAUGGUCAUCCUGCCUUCUUGACCAACCAGUCCUUGCCAUAUGUAUGUUUCUAUCACUACCGCAUGCUGCAACAAAGGAAACAGGACCCACGUAAACAGUCAAACCCUAGCUGAUUGAUUGAGACGAACCAGUUUCAUUAUUGCUGUUCUUUCCUGGUCGUAAUUAGGGCAAUAAUUUCGAAAGAGAGGGUUAGACAUUUGGGAAUAUACCUAAUUCGUGGUUGGCUUGUGAUCGGGUACGGCAGUGUCUGUCUAUUUCAUUCUUGUCACAUACGUGGCAUGACGUGGACACGGUUGAUUGGUCCAUUUUUUGAGGUGACCUACAUGAUUGAAAUUCCUCAGACAAGCUAAGGGCAUACAUGUCCAGUCGUGGUUGGAAGUUUGCAAUUGUUUCCUUAAAAGGAGGUCAGUCUUGCUAUAAUUGUGCAAAAGGGGGAAGUCAGGGCGUGCAUGCGCAUUCCAUACGCACAUGGAGAUUUUUAUUUUUAUUUUUUUGUGAAGAGAAAAUAUUAAUACUAAAACCUAUGGGAAAAAUAAUAAUUCCGAGACUUACUUAAAAAAUAAUGAUCCAAUAAUGGGAAAUGUUCUUGAACCUCAACGUAGUGAUAUUUCCGUCAUUUCUCACUUAUUUUGUUCGUUAGAAAAAACCGCAAGCUAACUAUUUUGAAGUGUUAAUAACAUAUAAUUUUCAAAUUAUAUAAUCUAAAGUCCGUUGGAUCCAUCUCAUUAGCCAACUUUAGAAGUAAAACAAAAAUAUUUAUGUUGUAGGCCUAAAUUUAAUUGGAUGAGAGAGAAGGGUGCGGAGAGAGAAAAGACAGGUUGUGUCAUAUUUCUCAUACUUUGUGCCUUUAUUUAUAAUAAAUAUAACGAGCUUACUUGCCCACAAGUAAGAAAGCCUAGAUCUUCUAGAUUACAGAGGAAUCAUCUACUAGGAUUUACCAAAUUACACAUGUGUUAUAAUUCUAAAUAAACAACAAUUUAUGCCUUUUGAGUUGAUUAAUUUUUUUUCUUUCAAACAAACGAUAAUCUCUACACUAAGGGAGUUGGGGCGUGGCUAAGCCUCACAAUAACCUAGCAAUAAUGUGGUUCAAAUUCGCCUUUGACGAGAAUCGAACCUAAGACCUCUCACUUACAAAUGAAGAUGAAUAUUACUAGAUCGUAGUACUAAGUGGCUUAAGUUGAUUAACUUUUAAAUUGACAAAGAAUGCUAGUUAACUUAAAGUCCCCAACAUGAAUGAUCAAAGAAUUACAGAAAUCCAGGUGCGCACCAGAGUCAAGCUCCAUUAACUUAAGGAAAGGGAUAGGUGCGAUGGCAAAGAGAGAGAGAAAGAGAAAAGAGAGUGUAAGAAAUUUUUUUGCGUCUUAUUUCUUCUUACUUUAUGCCUUUAUUUACAGCAAACAUAAUGGGCGUACUUGUCUUACAAGUAAGACAAGUAAAACUCAUAGACUCAAUCUACUAGGAUUUACACAAUUAUACAUGUCUUAUAUUUUAACUGCAACAAGUUAAGCCUUUUAAGUUGAUUAAGUUUUAAAUUGACAAAGAAUGGGAGUUAAUUUAGAGUCGCCCAAUAACAUGAGUGAUCAAAGAACUACAGAAAUACACGUGCGCACCAGAGUCAAACUCCAUUAAUAACCGAUUCGUUUUGGGUAGACAACAUGACAAAAUAUUUAUCAAGAGAUUUUAGCUGAUUUGAUUUCACCCUUAGAAUGACCACAAUAUUUGACCCAGUCAUAACUUAAAAUAUGGUGAUUAAUAGUUAAGAAACAAAUAAGUCAAUGCGAAAUACUGAAUUGCCUCUAAAUUAUGUCAAAAUGGAGAAUUUGUUCGAAAUUGUAGACUUUUUGCAAGUAUUUAGUGAUUACUAUGAAAUAUGUGAUCGUAUUAAAUUAAUAUACAUUGCAUAUCACUUGUACAAAUUAAGCAUUAUUCAAGAUUUUUAUGAAAUAAAGUCAAAUCAGAAUUCAAAAAGCAGCAUUUGAAACUUUCAUUUGAUUUAACCAUAAAGGAAAAAACAACAAACGUUAUAGGUUCAUAGAGUUGAAAUUGCACUAAUCUUCUUAAAAGAGAGGACAAAUUAGCUUAGAUAUAUUAAUAAAUUCAUUCAUAACUUUCUUUCACCUAACCACUAACCACUAAUGGCUUUAAUCACUUCAGCUUUUACAUGUAUCACCCUUAAUUGCAACAAGUUGAAACUUUGAUUAAUUAUUGUGGUCAAUAUAUAAGGGUGCUUAGAGAGAACAUAAUUUUAGCUCAUUACGAAGUUUGUGAAUUAACGUUGAUCAUAUUUUACACAAGGAUGGUGCUAUUGACACACUCACUUUUACCUCUCAUAUACUUUUGUUAAUUUUUUCUAUUAAUCUUCUUCAAUUCAUUCUAUUCAACAACUGAAAACUGAAAGAAGUGUGUGAGAAGUAAAAAUAAGUGUGUGGAUAACACCACCUUUUACACAAUCUCGUAAAUUAGGGCGAAAAGAAUUUAGAAUGUCGUCCAACUCUAAGAACACUACUACCGCGAGACAAAGAGUUAGUUGGUAAACAAAUUAGGAUUUAGAGCACAAAUAAUUAAGGGUGGGCACGGGUUGGUUCAGUGCGGUUUUGAGUGAAACCGAAAUUUUUUGCAGUUCCGUUCGGUGUGGUUUUGAAGCCAAAACCGAAAUGAAGCUAAACCGUUUGGUUCGGUUCGGUGCGGUUUCAAACGGUUUCGGUUUGAUUUUUAAGAAAAAAAUGUACAAUUUGCAAUUUAACAUAUUAAUAAGCAUUUCCCAGUAGCAAUAGGAAAAAGACAUUUGUUAUAUAAACAAUUAGCAUGUUGCAUGCAGUUGUGAUGUUAAAACAUGUUUGUGAAACAAAAUGGUGUCCUGUACAAGGUAUAACAUAAUACAAGUUGAAUAACUUUGAAUUCAUUAAACGUGAGCGAAACUUUCAUACUAGAAUAUGUGAUAUCAUGCUUCAAAUGAGUGAACUUCAUUAGAUCCAUGUUCGACUCUUGAUAACAAGAUCAGUCCACCCUUGUACAUAUAUGUGUGUGUGUGUGUGAUGGUAUAAAAUGACAAAGGUCCUUCAAGUUAAUGAACGAAAGAAAAUGAUGAAUGAUAAUAUUCUAGUGUGGUUGAGUCCAUACUAAGUGCAUGGAUUCUAACAAACAACCAAUUUAAACAUGAAAUUUAAUAUGGACAUUUAAUUAAAUGUUUAUUAAUAUUUGCGGUGCGGUUCGGUUUCGGUGCGGUUUUCAAAAGUCAAAACCGAAACCAAACCGUUUUCUAUGUUGCGGUUCAGUUUCAAAACCGAAACUGUUCCAAAACCGCAAAAUAAAACCGUUCGGUGCGAUUCGAUUUGGUUCGUGUUUCGGUUUUCGAUUCUAAGUGCCCACCCCUACAAAUAAUGCAAUUUCUCUCAAGAAACUGACAGAUAAAAAUCAUUCGCGGACUACGUGGCGCAAAUUUUAAUUUUGAUAUUUUUGAUUCGACCUAGUUGUUGUCACUUUUCAGUGAGAGUUGCAUGAAAGUCCAUGCAGUGUCUGCUUCAAUCUCAUUUUCAUCUGUUUUUUGGGAAUAUGCUUUAGAAAUAAGAGGGUUAUAAAGGUCAUUUUCGAGUGAAUAAAGCGCGCUUUAACUAAUUUUGAGAGCUGGACACAGCAAAACUUCUGUAGUCUUCCACAGCUGGUAUCACUAUAUUUACAUAAAAUAUAUAUUUAUCUUCGUGAAUGCCCUAAUUUUAUUUUCAACAAAAACAGAUUAUAUUCCAAUCUUCUUCUAAAUACUUCAAACUAUUUUUAUUUAUUUCUUGUCACUCUCUUUGUCACGCGUGCUGAUGAUUCAGGAAUGCAAAUACCAACAAAUAUCCAGUAACAUCAGAGUCCUAUCCACUCUCGCACAAUGAAUAUAAUUGGCUGAACUUAAAAUAUAUAAUCCAAUUUGAAGAGGGCUUAUGUCAUAGUGGAAAUCAAGCAUCUUUGUGACCCUCCUCUCCCGAAUUUGAAGUUCUUCCACUUGAAAAGUGAGAGGUAUUAGGUUCGAAUCUUGUGGAUGACAAAUUCGAUACCAAAUUAGGCUGCUCAUUAUGUGACUUAGCCGAACUCUUCCUCCUAUAUAAAAAUAUCGAUGUAGUAAAAAAAAAAAGUGUCAUCAACUUUUUGAUUUAUCAAUUAAACUUUAAUAAUAGAAUCAAAAUAAUGUAUUCACAAAAUUGAAACAUACUAAAUUGGUGAACGGAAUAAGGUAUGCACAAGAAUUUUAACUGUUAGAUCUCUGAACUUUUGACAAAAUAAAAAAAGAAAAUCUUGACCCUUUAUUAUACAGUUAUACACCGGAGCAUGUAUGGUAGUAUUUUCAUAACAUAUGGUCUUGGAAAAACUUUAUUUUAUUUUAUAUAGAAAUAGUAGGAUAUUCAUUUAUAUGAAAAUGAAUAAGUACAAAAAAGAGGAUAGGGCACAUAUUAAUGAGCUUGAUAAAUACUUUGUUUGAAAUUUUAAACCGGUCGAAGAGGCGAUAGGGUGUAUAUUAUUUAGUGGUAAUUAAAUCAAUGCUACAUGCAUAGUAUUUGGAUGGGUUGUUUGUCUAGAUGGUCAAAUUUUUAUGAUGGGGUAGAAUUAUUACAGAAAAAGUUGAAGAGAAGCUAAAACGACCAACCUAAGUUGCCUUCCAUUCCACGUUUCUUCCUCACGCCAGUAUUUAGGGGCUUCUGUUUCCCGUAGUGCUUUUCUUUGUCUUAACAUCUGAAUCCAUCUUUCAGCUUAUACAAUUUGUUCUAUGGCUUCUUUUCUUUCGUUCCUCUUUUUCCAAUUACCUGUCCCUUUUCCUUAAGCUUUAUUUCUCUUUCGUUCCUUGGAAAAGCACUUUUUGCAUGUCUUAUCUGGUUCUGCUUUCUUUAUAAGGUGUUUUAAGAUUUGGGGAGUUGAAGCUGUUGGUUAGGAGAACCCAUUGAAGUUUGAGAGUUUGUGAGGAGUCUACUGAGGGUGGAUUGCGAAAAUACUCUGCUUUCCGAUCGGAACCAAGCUUUCGGAUCAAGGGUUUUAGACAAGAAUCAUUGGGGGUAUCAUACAAGGAGGAAAUGGAAAACGUUCCAGCUGGGAUUGUUGAGGAGGAUGAUCAGAUCGAUUUGCCACCCGGGUUUCGCUUCCAUCCAACCGAUGAAGAGCUUAUUUCCCACUACUUGCACAAGAAGGUUAUUGAUACCAGCUUCUCUUGUAAAGCCAUGGGGGAGGUGGACUUGAACAAGUCAGAGCCUUGGCAAUUGCCUCGUAAGCUUCCUAAAACAAAAUUUCCCUAUUGUUUUCUUUCUGUAACACAAUCUGUCUUGAUCAAAUUGUUUUGGGUUUUGUUUGUUUCGAUUUGAUUUACUUUUUUGUUUUCGGUUGUUCGGAAAAAGGGAAAGCGAAAAUGGGAGAAAAGGAGUGGUACUUUUUCUGUGUGAGAGACAGAAAGUACCCAACUGGUCUGAGGACUAACAGGGCGACCGAAGCCGGAUACUGGAAGGCCACAGGGAAAGAUAAGGAGAUCUACAGUACAAAAUCUCUGGUUGGGAUGAAGAAAACCUUGGUUUUCUACAAAGGAAGAGCCCCGAAAGGAGAAAAAAGUAACUGGGUUAUGCAUGAAUAUAGAUUGGAUGGUAAAUUCUCUGUUCACAACCUCCCCAAAACUGCAAAGGUAUGGCUCUUCCCCUGUUUUCUUGUUUUUGGAUAUGGAAUUUCUUGCAACGGGGAUGUUACUGUGACGGUAUCUCAGGCUGAACAUACACUGCUAUACAAGAAAUUAAAGCACAUGGCUGUUCUUGAUUGGAUUGAGAUACCUCCACAGUAGCAUCUCCGUUGCAGUAAGUUUCUUGUGUUUUUACUAUGUUUAUUUGUUCAUGUAUUUUCUUGGGAGCAGCCUCUCCAUAAAAUGGGGGUAAGGCUAGCCGACAUUCACCUCUCCCAGACCCUGCGUAAAGCGGGAGCCUUGUGCACUGGGUACGACCUUUUUAUUUGUUCAUGUAUUUUGAUGCUAGUUUUAUUUGUGCCUUUUUUGUGUUGCACUCUGCAGAAUGAAUGGGUGAUUUGCAGAGUUUUUGAAAAGAAUUCUGGUGGCAAGAAAACCCAUAUUUCUGGAUUUGUGACUUUGGCUUCUCUCGGAAAUGAAAUUGGUUCUUCUGGCCUACCACCAUUGAUGGAUUCUUCGCCCUACAGCGCUCCCAAGGCCAAACCUGCUUCUGAGUCCCAUUACGUGCCCUGCUUCUCCAACCCUGAUCCCACUGAUGUUCAAAGAAACCAAGGGAAUAUUGCUGAUUACAUGAACAACAAUCCUCUCUUUGGUGUUUCUUCAAACUCUUCCAACUUUUUCCCAAGAAUCCCAUUUCCCAAUUCAUUCUACUCUGCUCAUAAUGCUCCCCCUUCGACAAGUUUCAAAUUCCCCGGUUCGGAUAUACUGCAAGAUCAGUCCAUCCUGAGGGCCUUGUUAGAAAACAAUGCUGCAAACAUGAGGCAGCAGAGCUACAAAACAGAGAGGGAACUAGUGAGUGUGUCCCAAGAAACCGGCCUCACAAGCGAUAUGAACGCUGAAAUCUCUUCAGUCAUGUCCAAUCUUGAAAUGGCAACAAGGCCAUAUGGUGAUCAAGAUCCUCCAGCUGCAGCAGCAGGCCUGGAUAAUUUUUGGAAUUAUUAAUAAUUUCAAAGCAGCAAAAUAAGAUUAAUAUAUAGUUUUGUUAUAUAAAAAAAAAAGGAAAAAACAGCUUCAGCUAAUAUUCCUGGUGUGAGUAGAUAAUUUAUAGAUAUUCUGAACCUAAAUUGAAAAUUGAAUGAAAGUGAAGCAAAUGUUAAUGUAAUGUAAGAAAUUAUAUGAUGUAUUGGUGUUUUUCUAUUUAUUUCUUACAAUAUUGGCGACAUAUGAGAACGAGAAUCAGUUGGUGGUAAUGAUGUUGUUUGCAUAUUUUACUCAUCAAAAGUUUGUACUCUUUCUUAAAGUUUUCUGGAUUUUAACGAAUGCUUGCAUCACUCAAACGAGCAAGUGAUUUUAUAAAUCUAAUUUAAACUACGAAAGAAAGAUUUGAACUCGAAUACAGAUAACUUUGCUAGUUCGAGUUAUCCCUAAUGAGUUUUAGUAUUCUAUGUUACUUUAUCAGUUUAUUGGUGGGAACUCAGGUCAGUAUGCUGUUGACAUUCCCACUUUCUUUCAACCUAUCUCCUUCCCUCUAUCACGCACACGUGCAUGUCACACUCAAACGUGCAUGUCACACUCAAACACAACCUUGGUAUUGGUAAAAUGAAAAUGUAGUUAGUCAUUUUAUAAAUUGUAACCUUUUUUCGCUAAUUAACUUUGACUUGCAUGCUAUGAAAUUUGUAUUCAUAUAUUUUGUGAUGCUGACAAUGCCAAAAAAAAAUCCUAAUCCUCUAAUUUUCGGGAUUAACAAAGGGUAGUAUAGAAAUAUUUACCUCUUGUCUAUUGACUACGUCUUUCGUCCUGACUCACUAUGUGUAGAAGAACCCGAAAUUUCUUAACUUUCCACCUAACAAUUGACUGGAGCAGGAUGUUUAUACAUAAAUUAUUGUUGAACUGCUAAUUUGAAACACACAUUUUUUAAACAAAAAAAAUCCUCUAAUCAGUAAUUUAGGUUGAUAAUGUGACAUCAAAGGAUGAAGGGUUAAGAACUGUAUGAAUAACUACCCAAUUUUUAGAGGUGAUUCCAAAUUGGUUUCAACUUUUUAAAACAAAUAACUACAUAGGCCACCUACGGUAAUUGAUAAUGUCCUUAAGGUUAAGUGAUGACUUGAAAAAACAUUGAAGUUGAUUUUCACUAACUCAUCAUUUUUGGAGUUUUUAAUCCUGAAAUAGACCCCUCUUAGCGAAGAAAAACAUCAAAUGUGUCUAGUUAAAAGGAAUCGGUUUAGAAAUUUAGAGCUCUAUAGAUUACGUGAGAAUGAAAAUCGCUUUAAUACUUGAACAUGCCAUCACUUAAUGUUGGUGAUCUGUAGGAUGUCUAAUUUUCAAAACGUUAAGUAGUUAUUUGAAAUAUUUUAAAAAGUUGGGCCACUUUAAAAAUACCCCAUAAGAUUAAGUAUUUUCCCUACUUAAGUAAACCUAAUUUAGGUUGGGACCAAUUUAAAGGUACCCCUUAAGAUUAGGUAGUUAUGUCAAAAUGUUUGAUAGAGAAACUAGUCCUCUUAAUGAGUCGGUUUUUGCUAAAUAGUUGAUAGCCUCAAAACGCAAUAACUGAGAGUAUAAUUCAUCGCAAGUAAGUAUCUUCAAAGCGUAUAUGUAAACCAAACUUAACAUUUCCUCAACAAGCAAAAAAAAAUAAUUACUCGCUCAACCAAAUGAUUGUUGAUAAACAACUAUGGUUUAGUAGAAUUAUUAUUUCCAUUACUAUUUGACUAAUGAAAUUUCUUACUUCCUUGCUCAAGAGAUUGAACCAAACCGCAGGAAAUAUGGAAAUAUUGAGUUGACAUAUAUUGCAAGAGAACAAACUUGCUCACUGCCCCUAAUUAAUGGUGAGUGUUGCGGGUUACCACUAAGUCAUCAACUAUAAGCUCAUUUGGAAGUGUUUUUAAAAUAAUUGAACUUGUUUUUAGUGAAAAUAUAUUUGAAAUCAAUUCUUAGUUAACAAUGCAAGUGAGUCUUGGAAUAAUACUUAAAGUGUUUCUCGCAAGAAGCAUAUGAGCGGUACUUCUUGUAGGAAGUUCUUCAAGAGCUUUGAAAACCACACAUAUUUCUUUAAAAACGCACUCAUUUAUUUUAAAAGCGCCUCCAGACGAACCCUAUACAUGUAUCGUUGGAUGAAUCAGAUUCAAUUUACCACGCCUUGAAAUAUAAAUUCAUCGAAUGUUGGUAAUGUAAUGGUAGCUCAAUCCCACAUUAGAGGUGAUGAACAAUUUAGUCACUGUGGAGAAUCAUGGAAGUCUAGUGGAAAAUGGGAAGAGGAUUCUCUCCAGAUCUACUUUAUGGGGAUCUCUAGCCGUUCAUUGUACAUCAUACGGUUAAUUUUUGUCAGGUACUAUUUGUGUUUAAUUUUAAUUUAAAAAGUUAAAUAAACUUUUACCUCACGAUGUAUGAUGAAUGAUUAAGAUGUGAGAAUCCAUAAAAUCUCUACCAUUUAAAUUUGGAUGGGAUCCAAAUCCUGGAAAAUGGAGUGGACAUUGGAAAAACUAUUACCUGUAGCCCGUUGGAAAAUAAAACAGCUGUCUAAAUUCAUCAAGUUCACAUCUAAGGAGAAGACUUCUAAAAAAUCCAGAAAAGUCUUGUCACAAAUAUAUUCUCUGGCAACAAAAUCUUAUUAUACAAAUUUGAAGGAAAACGAGGUCUAAUAUAUAUUUAUUGUCUUUCAUUUUCAUAGUCUGUCAACUACAGAGAUUCGUUGGUAUUGGAUCAAUUUGUAAAUCCAACUGUGUCUUCUGGCCCUUUUCCAUAAGAAUUAUGAUGCAUGCAGUCCGUUAUCAAGCUGUUGAAUUGAUCUAAGAAUAUUUACCUUAUCAUUUAUUAAGUAAUAUUUUUAUAACAUGUGGGGUUUUAUUUUUUGACACAUGCAUGAUCAAUCUCCAACCACGAAUGUAUUUGAGUCCUUCACGACAUGUUUAAUUCGCAUCAGUAAUAUUAGAUUUUAUAUAUGAAAGCUAUUGCCAUUUGUGUUUUCUGCAGAAUAAUUUUUCUUGACAACAAAUUCAUAAACCUCCAAUUUCAAAGACGUGUAUUUUUGCUCACGUAUCAUUCUAUUUAUUACUGUUUGAUGAGCUUAAAUUUUAAAAUUUAAAUUCAUCUAAUGAUAAUAAAUAGGACGGUGCAUACAAAUAUUUAUGUUCCAAAAGAGUCAAACGUGACCCCAAAAUUCACCCAAUAGAAUCAAGGGUCCCAUAUACUCAACAAUAUGUUCUCAGGCUACCCUUUCAUCAUCAAAAUGUUAUAUUAACUUAUACUUCCGAGUUAAGUGUCAUAACAUAUAUAAUUUAUAUAUUACUCAUUAUCCAAAUGUAGGAAUAUUGGAUUGGAUUAUUUUCAUUCAUAUGGCUAACCAUUUUAUAUAUACAUAUCAUAAGUAUUUGAGCUGUAAGAAAUAUAAUUCAUUAAAGAAUAAGAAAAAUUAAAUUACUAUUAUUAAAGAAAAAGAAAUAUAAUUCUUUAAAGACAUACAUCUAGCCUCAAAAAUUGAGGUGUAAUAAGCGUAGAUAAUAGUUAAUAAUCUAUGGGAGAUAAUAGAGAAAUGCUAAGGAGUCUAUCUCAAGGUGGGACUCUCUAUAGAUUCUAUGUUACCUUAUUAUUUAACGUUAAUUCCUGAGCUAACAUUAUAAAACAUUGUGCAAAAAAUAUGGGGUGACAAAGAGUCCCACUUUUGUGAGAUUCUCCUUUUCAUUUCUCUUUUAAAUAUAGAGUCAAAUGUAGCUUUUUCCAGCCAACCCCUAAUUAUUAUAAUUAUCUUUUAAAUUUUUGUACAAUUGAGUUGCAAGAAGCAUAUAGAGAGAAUAGUCUUAUACCCAAUUCGAAUGAUAUUAAAUGAAAAAAAUGGAACCUUAGCAUCUCUUCUUAUCCGCAGUGUGUAUCAAGGGAAAGAUUUCUAUAUUUUCAUGUUUUCUUUUGUCAAAUAUUUAUGAUAGUUAAUUCAUUUUUUUAGAUCAAAUAUGUGUGUGUAUCCUUAAAGGGAAGGGAUCCCAUUUUCAUAAAAAAACGAGGAUUAGUUGUGGGAUUUUCUCUACAUCGAAUUUUAAUGAUACGAAUCGUCUAUUUUGUCAGUCUUGAUUCAAAGAUUAUCCUUGCAAAAAUUAAUUCAAUACGAAAUCAUUUGCCUAUUUAAUUAUCACGAUGAAAUUUCAAUGUUUUCUAGAAAAUAAAGUGUUCGUUAAUUUCUUUGAACUCAACUAGAUAUCUCAAAUAUUUUCGAUUUGAAUAAUAUUUUGUAAAGAUGACCUCUGAGAUGCAACUUGAAGACGGUUCAAAUCGUUAAAUUCGAUGUGUAGUGGAAUCUACAACUAAUCGCAUUUUUAUUAAAAAAUAAAUAAAAACUCCUUUUUUUAAAGGCUUCUUAUGUAUACAUAUAUAUAUUUAAGUCAUUAUUAUUAAAAGACAUAGUAAGUUUUAAACUAUUAUAAUAAUUUAAAAGGAGAAAGUUAAAACUUGAACUUUAUGAGUCGAGAUAUUUUUGAUAAUUGAACCUUGUGACAGUGAACCCAUAUUUCUAGGGCAUUGUGUCAUGCCACCUGGAUACUAUUUUCCAAUUUUGUGCAUCGUGUAUGAGAUGGUGGUUUUCUCUUCAUAAAAGCUUGAGGAACAAUAGGGGUAUUUGUGUCAAUAUAGGAGUAUGAUUCUUUUUUCUAUUUUUUUUCCUCUCUUUCCUUCCACUUUUAUUUAAACGGUUAUUGUUAAAUCAUAUUAAUUUUUUAUAUUAAUUUUUUAUAACAAGAGAAAAAUAAAAUAAGAUCGUAAUAUCCACACACCUUUUUUUACUUCUCUCACAUCAUUUUAAUUUUCGACUGUCGGAUCGGAUAAAUUAAAAAAGAUCAAAUCACAGAAAUUAACAAAAUAUAUGAGAGAAGUAAAAAGAAGUAUGUGAAUAACGCAUUUCUAAAAUAAAAGAAUGUGAGAAAAAAAAAUGGAAAGAAAAGAAGAAAGAAUCCUACUCCGUCGAAGUAAAACCUAAUAAAGCUACGUGACGGAGUUAGCACCCGAGUGAGCGUUGAAUGUUGCGAGGUCAGAUUCAGACUUAGAGGCCUUUUUAACGGUCGACACGUGCCCCGCGCUAAUCCGACACAUGCUUCCAGUUUUGCUGCCGUCACCAGGUAGCCCACCAAUACAACUGUUUCCUGCAAUAGAAGCGCGUCACGUGGCACAGGUGCUGUGCG